GCUGGGGUUCUACUUUAAAGUCGUGGUCGUGGACAAUUUGGGAUUUAUUAAGGAAUUUUUGUAGUUGCUAGGCUGUGGUUCUAUGUGCUGAGGAGGGAGGCGUUGCUGCUCAUGCUGCUGUUGCUGGAGUCCUCACUUUAUUUGUUAAGACUAUGUAAUGACCGAAUGAUGUUAUUUGUUUGUGUCAUCCUUGACUCUUUACCUACCGCAUGUAAUCCUGCAAUCGGUACUUUUAAUGCUAUCGUUAUUAAAAACUGUUUACUCAUGUUUUAGCAAUAACCUAUCCUUAUUAGUCAAAGGGAGUAUUUAUCUACUUAUGACCACUCGCAUGUUGCUAUUUGGGUUUCAGGAUUAUACUUUCUGAAAUUCCUAUUCUCUGUACUGAGUGAAACUAAUAUACUGGGUUACCUGUAAAUCCUGUCAGUGUAACUUGAAAAGGAUUCUCAUCCUCCCAGAGAGAGUAAAUAGAGAUGGUGAAAUGUCAUCCUAGUUGUUAGGACGGAGCUCAUCAGAUCUUUUCCCCCUUUCACACCAUUUUGUUAGCGUUGUGCUUGAGUGAGAGGCUACUGAUAGCGCUGCUGACCCUUCCCAAACCUUGGACGCCUGCUGAACCUCGUCUGGUUGCAGCUGGGUGUUGUGCCGAUUCCAGCUUGGCCUGUGCUGGUUGCAGCAUCUCGGCCUGUCCCUGCAACCCUCUGCUUGCUGCCCCUUGCAGAACCUCGUCGUGUGCAGCUGGACGUUGUGCUGAUGCUUAACCUGUGCAGCUUGCAGCUGUGCUGGUUGCAGCAUCUCAGCUUGUCGCUUGCAGCUGGUUACAACAUCCCCCAUGACGUAGCAGUGGCUCAGGCGCUUUGCAGUAAAACUUCUCGCAGGGAAAAACCGCCACCGUUGCGGAUUCCUCCAGCAAAAAUUGUCGCCUGUCAAAGAAAAAAGCAGCAAUGUUGCGGAUCACUAGCAAAAUCAGUCACCCGUUCGAGCAAAAAAUGUCACCGGUCGCAGCAAAAUUGUCUGUCACAACAAAAAGCACCACCGAUCGACCUGGCGGUGUUAACCAAGCACAUGUUUGAUCCCUUUAACAUAAGGGGUAAGAGUCCGACGGUGUGCCAAUCAUCACCAUUAGCCACCUGGAAUGCGAGGAGGUAAUUUGUUGCCCAAAAUCUCAGGGUCCGCUUCCGUUGUACUUGUCCAUCGUGUUUAUCUUAAAGCUGGAUGCGAACUUGUAGCAGACGAUCUCGUACAUCAAGAUCCCUUCUUAGUUUGGCAUGAUGAUGUGCUAUUCGUGUCACCGGUUGUCCUGAUGUGACUCUUACAUGGCCAUCCUGCUGGAUCAUCGCCGUCUUCAGAUAUUCCAUCCCUUCUUGCUUGAACCUCCGCUUGUCCGGAUGCCCUUUUUGGGAACUGUGUCAUGACCAGGGCUCCCGCCGCUACCUGUAUAUCCUUAGCUGGAGUGUGAUAGGACUCUGGGCCCUCCUGGAUCAAUGGCGUUCACGAGCGCCUCUUUCACUCGUCUACUUUCCAUGGCUAGGGAGGCCUUGUCCUCUGCCGGCAUGGUCUUUCCGAUGGGAUGGCAAAACCGGAACAGCUCCUCGCUGCGUCCAGGCCCGCCGCCCUCCUCUCCAAGCGUCUCUUCUCCUUGGAAACCUUGACGAGAGCCGACAAGGCUUUCAUCCGGACUUCGUCUUGCUCCUCAUCUUCUAGGAUCGCUCCAUCAAGUGCUUCAAUAUCCCUAUCGCUAAAUUCUGACACCUCGUCGCUUUCCUCCUGGCUUGGAUCUAGCGUGUCUACUACAUAGCAGGACUGGACCGAGGUCGCCUGCCACGUGCAAAGAGGCACCACGGCUCAUGGUGGGCUAACUCCUCAUUCCCCUCGAGGAUGUUGGUGAGAUCUUCAACGUUGGCGAUUAAGUGGGUUGUGAGCAGAUCAAUUUUUUGGCAUGCUGCUCUUGGGCCUGGAAUGACGUCAGACCUUGGAGAAGGAGCUCGCCGCGUGAAUCCGCGACGUACUCUAGAUUGCUUAAUUGAACAAUCCAGCCUAGGGUGCAGCUCUCAACUUGGCCCAAGCGACCGGUCGAGUCGGCGACAAAGGUCAUGGCGCCGAAAAAGAAGAUUUGACCUGACGUGUAGAUCGUGUCGUCGUCAACUAGCGAUCCCAUCUGAUCACUAAGUUCACAGAUCCCUCAAUAGGGUAUCCUAGUGAGGUGAGUAAAUCAGGGGGGAAACAUGAGACAGAUUUACCCAGGUUCAGGCCCUUCUUACAAGGUAAAACCCUAUUGUGUUACGGUGUAGAAAGUACAUGUAUUACUCAAGGGAUUGUAUGUUUUCUAUCGACUAGCUCGACCCCGGCUUAUAUGAGAUAUCGGGGCCCCUAGAGUUACAUGGACCUAGUCGACUAUGCUGGUGGAGGGGAGUCCUUCAUGUCUCUGGCUUCCUUAUCUUAUGGGCUAAGGGAGAAGGAGGUCAAGAUGCACUGAUCAUCAAGGAAAAUAGAGCUAUGAAAGAUGGUGCAGGGGUAACCCUCUUCCGCCAUGAACGUCGUGGGUCAAAUGUAGAUGCUCACAAUAUAGAAAAAGCUCUAGUCUUAUCACCAGGUAGGCAUGUCUAGUUGCUUGAGCCCCCGGGCUACGUAAACUCUAUGAUUGAUUAUUAAAGCUCGGGUUUGUUAUUCUUAAAAAAUGUUUUGGAGCAUUGUUUUUCCCCAGGUCUCCACGAAUGUCAUUCCAUCGCGAAAAUUUGCACGCAUGUGAAAUAUACAUCGAUGUUUGUUGCUAAAAAAAUUCAGAUUUUUUUUAUUUUUUACAAAUUUUUCUUACUGUUCCAAAUGGUAUAUGUGAGCUCGUGCUCACAAACUUCAUGUCCCAUUCUAACAAAUCAACUCUCAGGUUGCAAAAAAAACCCCAUUUACGUUGAUUUCUUCCUCUGUGAAUUGAGUGUUCCAAAUAAUAGACAACUCUACAUUUGGUCUUAUAGGAAUGAUAAUAGAUGGGAGUACAUCUCUUCAGAAUACUACUAGGAAAGGAGCACAUGUGUUGCAACGGGGUAAUUAAAUUAUGGUCUUCAAAUUGAGUGACCCAUAACAUAAUACCUAUAAUGAUUACAAAUAAUAUACAACUCACACUGUUAAUUCAAAUCAAUAACAAGGUAUGAGGUCAAUGAACCAAAAUGAAUCAAACAGAUUAAGUGGUCGAUAUGUAUAAGGUCAAUGAAACCAUCGAGAGUGACAACUACAAGCUCAACGCACCGUGAGGCUUGAGUUCUCUUAUUUAUUGCAGACAUGUGUAGCUACUAACAUAAUUAGGCCAUCGUUAUUAGGGGUAGUAGUGCAUAGUCUUCUUCAUAGAUUGUGAUUUUGUGAAAUACUCUCGCAGUACAUUGUCUUGUUACACCAUCCUGUGCCGUCGUCAAGUCCUAAUCGGAAGCAAUGUUCAGCUGAUAAGAGCUCUACGAGAAAGUAAUGACAAUCAAGCUGGCAUUGUAUUGGUGCUCAUAAAUCACACAUACAGUUGGCCUCUCCACACAAAUAUGCAGGACACAAAAAACAAGUGCUAUCAUUAAUUGACUACUGGAUACUAGUUUGUAUACAAUAAAUCAGUAUAAAAAAACACAGGCAAGUGGAGAAAAUAUGAAGCUAUGUUGUUGCUCCUCCUCACUAACAUUGGUGACUUGGCUGUCUUCAUUUAGAUUUCCCAAGAUAAUUUCUGAUGGCCCUUCUGAUGCACCAACUCAAAAUUACAAGAAAUACCACAUCCUUCUGCUUGUCGGUCUCGGAAUUGGUGCAACUCCUUUCGUCAGCAUACUGAAGGAUGUCCUUAACAACAUAAAGUCCAAUAAAGUAACAUAGUCACUGAAUGUUCUUCCUCAUACAUGAGUAGAGAUGCACAAUGGCUAAAAUGAAUUGGAUUCUACAAGAGCAGCAAAGCAUGCAUGACGUCGAGUUAGGCAGCACCUUCAACUUCAAGGGCAACGUGCCAAGCCGAGCAUACAUGUAUUGGGUUACCACUUACCAGAGACCAAGCGGCUCGUUUGAACGGUUCAGAGGUGUCAUAGGUGAAGUUGCUGAAAGUGAUAACGGUGUACUAGUCAGCCGUAACAGUUUCAGAUACACCAUGGUUGCCUGCAAAAAGUUUCAGAUACAUCAUGGUUAAUUGCUUGCUUCCUUUCCUAACUGCUACUUCAAGAUCUGCACACACUUUGCAAGGCCAAACUGAAGAAAGGUUAGUCACAUUUGAUUAUUACUACAGUAUUAUUUUUGGCUGCGCGCCUGAUUAAAAUCUAAGUGACGAAUCCCACUUUAUACAUUACAAAAAAAGACACUGUAUACUAAGAUGACGCCGCAUAAGUCUGCAGGUGUUUUCACCCUCUGCCUCCUCCUCUUACCGGCUCUCAUCAGCGGCAUGCAAAAGGGGAGAGGCGGCUGUAGCGACGUAUCCCGGCCGGACCCGUGCGUGUUGGAGGCCUGGAAGGUGAUCGGAUCGGAUCUAGAGUCCGUGGAGGAGACUUGCUCGGAUACACAAACUUUGCACAGAGUUCCAUUACGAUUAAUGGGUGGCCUUGCCGGACCCGGACACGGGCUCCCCAUGAACCGCCCUCCUUUUGCCACAUAAAUAGGCUUCGAGCCCUCUACGGAAGCAUCCAAUCUCCCGGUCCUUCAAUCUCGCCGCUCCACCACUCCGCCGGCCGCCCGUGCUCCAUACGCCGUCGUACAAUCUCGCCGUUCUACCAACAUCGCCGGACCGCCGUGCUCCACCUGAGGUACGCCCGAUCUCGUGCCAAGCUGAAUUCUGUCCUGUCGAUGCUGAGAAGUCAUGAUCUUUCAUGUGUGUCUGCGCUCUGCAACCAUAGCUGCCAUCGUCAUUACCUUGCACCUAUACGGACAGUCUGCACUCUUUAGGCCUCAUAGAUUAGCCACAAAGUAGGCUAUACACACACUGGAGAGUAGGAGUACUUCAUAGUGGCGCCUGGUAGUUCCAAUAUCUGGAGAAAAUACCUGUCCAAUCUUCUGCUUUGGACUCUGCUUGAGUUCACUUUUCCAAAGCUCGCUACGGUACUGGAUACUGGAAGGCCAAUUUGGCUAAAGGCAGAGAAUAGUUCAAAAGAGAGAAUAUAUGCCAUGCUCUCUAUUACCUGAUCAGGUUUCAUCUUAAAUUGUGGUGAUUCUGUUCUAUGCAAUAUUAUUUGCUAUGUUCUGGCAUUGAUUCUCUGUUAUGGCUGACGCGUGUGUCAAGGCUAAUAAGAACUAUUUUUACCCAAUGGUAAAUUUACUGAACAAGCUCCUGUCUUAUCCCCAUCGUCUGUCUUAAGGCUAAUCUAUUCAUGGUUAGUUUUCCUUGCUGUACAAAGGUCAUCGUUCAUUCGCUCUUUUGUACUAUGUUCUUCUUCUCUUUCCUUUACAGUAAAACAUAGACCAUGCUUCCAUUGUUGCAACUUGCAACUAGUUCCAGGUUUGCUCGUGGGUGUCAUUUGAGGUCAGAGUAAAUAUUUUGGUAGUGUGCCAACUAUAGGCACACUCGGUCGAAAUCCAAAAAAUCCAGUAGCUUAUGCAGCCUAUAAUUAGCUUUUACAUAUUAAUUAGUAGCUGAUUUCUGUCAAAAUGAAUAGAUGGACACCCUCUAUUUACAAUAUUAUUAUAAUUUUCUCCCUGUUUGAUUGAACUCCAUGCUGAUUACACCUUCACACAAUAUAAGAUAUUGUUUGAGCAAUCUGACUGUGGGAUGUUCAGGUUGUUAUUGCAGAAAAUGAAUGACAGCGCUGACUUGACCAUUGUUGUGGAUUUUGAUAACCGACCUUCAAAAAAAGCCAAUUUUUCUGAAUCGGAUCUUUUGGAGCCAUCACCUACGUCACCAACCAUCUGACAUCAUCUCUGGUUUUUGAAUGUUUUGAAUCGAUUGUUCUGGAAUCAGAUAGAUGUUGAUCCAUUGCCAUGACCACCGUCACCAACCAGCUCGACAUUACCUCCAGUUUCUGAAUGUAUGAAUGAAAGAAAAGUUUAAUCGAUGAUGAUAAGUAACCAGAUGAAUAUGAACAAAUAAAAGUUGAUGAAACAUACAACUAGCUCCCACUAGAUAAUUGUUUGAUUUAUGAUGUGUACUUUUGUAUCUAGCAUCCUCCUUUUUAUUAUUUAAUAUUAUUAUUUGUGUAUGUGCACGGUUAAUCCAUAUUUACACAUGGAUUUAUUCGAUAUUUUUUCAAAUUAUUUUACUUUUUGCAGAUUAUGCACUGACCAACAGUGAUGUAUGUGCUCAUAUAUCAAUAGAAACAUCUUUUGAAAAAACGAUUACAGGUGAAGAUAGAUGAAAUAUCUGUCAAACAACAUCAAUUGGUGUGCGUGUUAGAUAAAAAAGGGUGGCUAAACGAUGAUGUAAGUACCCUUUCUUACAAGAAUGUCCAAUUAUUGAUAUCCAUUAGUAAUGUCUUUUUCAAAAUCUUUUUAUGUAAUCAGUGCAUAUGUAUGUUGUAUAGAGGACCAAGUACAUGUUCAAAAUGAUAGUAAAGUAUAUUUUCAGAAUCCUUUUGUUACCGCAUCGUUAAUACGGUAUGUCAACCUUGGUAUAUAUAUGAAGAUGGUACCUUUAUGAAAAAGAUUGUAAAAAACUAUGUGAAGCAUGACAUUGUAACAUCCAUAUCCUUUAUUUUCCAUGUUCCGGGUUUAAUACAUAUUUAUUAGUAAUUUUACUAAUUAUUUUGAUUAUAGAAUGAACUUCCAAUAAAUAUGAACAACACACAUUGCUAUUUAACUGUUGGGGACGCAAAAAAUUGUGAGAUUACAGUACUUGACUCAUUGUGUUGGGAGUUUGACCGAGAUGAUCUCACUAUUACGGUUGGUUACUACAUCACUAUUACGGUUAGUUACUACAUAACUAACCGUAAUAGUGAGAUCAUCUCAGUCAAACUCGCAACACAAUGAGUCGAGUACUUGAAUCUCACACUUUUGCAUUCACAACAGCUAAAUACCAAUGUGUGUUGUUCAUAUUUAUUGGAAGUUCAAUCUAUAAAUCAAGAUCAUCAGUAAAAUUAUGAAUAAAAGUGUAUGAAACACAAAACAUGAAAAUUAUGUAUAUGGAUGUUACCAUGUCAUGCUUCACGUAGUUUUUGACAAUCUCACCAUGUUCAUUUAUUCCAAGGUUGCCAUCAUGCUUUAACGGUGCAGUAACAAAAUGAUUCUCAAAAUAUACUUUACUAUCAUUCUGGACAUGCACUUGGUCUUGUAUACAAAGUUUGACUAAAUUUAUAUUAAAAAAUAUCAACAUCGUCUACAAUACUAAAGUUAUAUAGACGAAAAUUAAUUUUCAUCUAAUGCGUUUCGUAUUGUAAAUGUUGAUGUCUUUUCAUAUAAAAUUGGUCAAAAUUUACUAAGUUUGACUUCAAACAAAUUUCAUAUGCAAACUAAAAAGAAACAGAAGGAGCACCGAUGAUGAGAAUAAAUGAUGAUUUUAAAAGAAAAGAAUAGAAUAGAACCUAGCAGAGAACCUGUCCGGCCCCAGAUCAUCCAGAGUGUCAUCUUCGUGAACGCCCACUGCUAGGUACUUCACAGAUCCGCACACACUUUGCAAGGCCAAACUGAAGAAAGGUUAGUCACAUUUGAUUAUUACUGUAUUAUUUUUGGCUGCGCACCUGAUCAAAAUCUAAGUGAUGAAUCCCACUUUAGAUUACAAAAAAGACACUGUGUAUACUAAGAUGGCGCUGCAUAAGUCUGCAGGUGUUCUCUACCGUGGAUCUACCACUCUUACAAAAAUGCUGACGGAUCUUGCAGUAGAAUUCAGCCACACGACAACAACACGGUUCAGCCACAGGCCCACAAGGAGAACUUCUGACUUCUAAGUUCAGGCCAACAAGCAGUUCUAGGAGCUCUGCAGGUGCCAUCAGGAGCAGGGGAGAGGCGGCUGUAGCGACGUAUCCCGGCCGGAUCCGUGCGUGCUGGAGGCCGGGAAGGUGAUCGGAUCUAGAGUCCAUGGAGGAGACUUGCUCGGAUACACGGCCUUGCCGGCCACGGACUCCACAUGAACCGCCCUCCUUUUACCACAUAUAAAUAGGCCUCGAGCCCUCUACCGAAGCAUCCAAUCUUGGGGUCGUACAAUCUCGCCGUUCUACAACUCCGCCGACCGAAGUGCUCCAUACGCCGUCGUACAAUCUCGCCGUUCCACUAACAUCGCCGGACCGCCAGUGCUCCACCUGAGGUACGCCUGGUCUGGCUAAAUUCGGUUCUGUUGUUUUGAAAAAGACAUGAUCUUUCCUGUGUGUAUGCACUCUGCAACCAUAUAUGUCAUCGUUACCGACUGGAGCUGCCGCAAGAUCUUCUGCUUUGUACUCUGAAAGUUUGCUUGAGUUCACUUUUCAAAGCUAGCUACGGUACUGGAUGCUGGAAGGCCAAUCUGGCAUAAAGAGAGUGAAUAAUAUAUGCCAUGUUCUCUAUUACCUGAUCAGGUUUCGGCUCAAAUUGUGGUGCUUUUAUUCUAUGCAAUUUUAUUUUCUUGAUGAUGCUAUGUUCUGGCAUUCGUUCUUAAGGCUAGUAAUAAACUCUUAAGGCUAGUAAUAACUAUUUUAACCAAUGGUAAAUCUACUGAACAAACUCCUGUCUUGUACCCUUCCUUCUAUCUUAAGGCUAAUCUAUUCAUGGUUAGUUUUCCUUCAUGUACGAAGGUCAUCUCUUUUUUGUAUAUUUUUUCUUCAGUUUUGCUAAAGCACAUCUAGAUGUGCCAUAAGUAUUGCACAUCUAAAUCCUAUGUCAUUGAUCUUAUGCGGAGAUUCGUGUGAAUUUUUUUUUGGAUUUUUUCUUUUUCUUUCCAUACUUGAUUGUGUCAUUUAGAUGUGCAAUAACUAUAGCACAUCUAGAUGUGCCCUAGACAAACCCUUUUUUCUUCUCUUUCCUUUACAGUAAAACAUAGACCAUGCUCGCAUUCUUGCAACUUGCAAGUAGUUCCAGAUUUGUUCGUGGGUAUCAUUCGAGGUCAGAGUAAAUAUUUUGGCAGUGUGCCAAUCGAAAUCCAAAAAUCCAGUAGCUUAUGCAGCCUAUAAUUAGCUUUUACAGAUUAGUAGCUGAUUUCUCACAAUGAAUAGAUGGACACCCACUAUUUACAAUAUUAUUACUAUUUCUCCCUGUUUGAUUGAACUCCAUGCUGAUUACACCUUUGCACAAUAUAAAAUAUUGUUUGAGCUUUGCAGAAAAUGAAUGACAGUGCUGACUUGACCAUUGUUGUGGAUUUUGACAAUCGACCUUCAAAAAAUGCCAAAUUUUUUUAAUCGAAUUUUUUGGAGCCAUCACUUGCGUUAUCUUUGGUUUCUGAAUGUUUUGAAUCGAUUGUUCUGAAAACAGAUUGAUGUUGAUCCAUUGACAUGACCUACGCCGCCAACCAACUCGACAUUAUAUACCUCUGGUUUCUGAAUGUAUGAAUGAAAGAAAAUUUUAUUCGAUGAUGAUAAGCAAUCAGGGGAAUAUGAACAAACAAAAGUUGAUGAAACAUACGACUACCUCCCACUAGGUAAUUGUUUGAUUUAUUACUUUUGUAUCUUGCAUCUUAAAUGCCUUUUUGUUAUUUAAUAUUAUUAUUUGUGUGUGUGCAUGGCUAAUCCAUAUUUACACAUGGAUUUAUUCAAUAUUUUUUCAAAUUAUUUUACUUUUUGCAGAUUAUGAAAAAACAAUUACUGGCGAAGAUAGAUGAAAUAUAUGUCAAACAACAUCAACUGGUGUGCCUGCUAGAUGAAAAGGGGCAGCUAAACGAGUACCCUUACUUACAAGGAAACGUUCAAUUAUUGAUAUCCAUUAGUAAUGUCAGCAUGACAUGGUAACAUCCAUAUCCAUAAUUUUCAUGUUCUGGGUCCAAUAUAUAUUUAUUAGUAAUUUUACUAAUUAUCUUGAUUAUAGAAUGACCUUCCAAUAAAUAUGAACAACACAUUGCUAUUUAACUGUUGUGAACACAAAAAAAAUGUGAGAUUACAAUACUUGACUUAUUGUGUUCGGAGUUUGACCGAGAUGAUCUCACUAUUACGGCUGGUUACUACAUCACUUCUGAUCCUCUAUAUGAAAUGUCAUAAACUGAUCCUUCGCUUAUGUGUAUUAUUUCCGAUGACAUAUUUCAGCUACAUGGACUACAAUAUCAAUUGGACAUUUUUAAAAGUCAUAACUUGAUAAGCCACAACCUGAAAGACUUCGACGUUACUAAAUGGAAGAUCACAAAACAAUUAUGAAAGUCAAUUCAAAAAGACAAGUAUAAAGCAUCACAUAUGUUCUAUACUAAUAUAAGUAAUAUUGUGAUAUAUCUAGGGUACUCAAUUUUGUUUUAAUUAUACAGUUCACCUUGUGCACUACUAAUUCAAAAUGAAUUGCUCUAAAAUAUCUGUAGAAUUGAUUGAUUUGAUGUAGCUGCAAAGUUCACCUACUAACUCAUCUAAGCUCAUGUUAGAAAGAACAUAUAUUAGUAAUUGGUAUUUAUUUUCGACAAAUAAUGUGUUUAUUGCUUUUGAUUUUUUGUAUCAUAUGUACUUUCCAACAUUUUAAUUAACAUCAUUAGGAUCUCCAUCAAUGUCAUCGUCAUUUUGUUCAAUCAUUGUAGUCGUGGCCGCGGUGUUUGUUUUCCAACAUAAUAGUAUGCUCACUAACUUUAUACCUAAAAAAGAAGUGAUAAUUUCCCGUGCAACACAAACAACUAUUAGUUUUUUUUUGACAACUCAAACAACUAUUAGUAUAUUAUUGAACAUACACGAUUAUUACACAUGAAUUAUUACUUAUAUUGGCAUAGAACAUAUGUGACACUUUACAACCUGUCUUCUUGAAUUGGCUUUUGUAAUUGUUCUGUAAUCUUCCAUUUAGUAACAUUGAAGUCUUUCCAAUUCUGGCUAAUCAAGUUUUGACUUUUAAGAAUGUCCAAAUGAUAUUUUAGUGCUCGUAGGUGAAAAAUAAUUAAUGAUCAGAAACAAUACACAUAAGCGAAAUUUCACAUAAUAAGGGGUAAUAAAUGAUGUAGUAACUAUGAGAUCAUCUCAGUCAAACUCGUAACACAAUGAGUCAAGUACUUGAAUCUCACUCUUUUGCAUUCACAAGAGCUAAAUACCAAUGUGUGUUGUUCAUAUUUAUUGGAAGUUCAAUUUAUAAUCAAUAUAAUCGGUUAAAUUAUGAAUAAAAAUGUAUGAAACGCAAAACAUGCAAAUUACGUGUAUGAAUGUUAGAGCUUGUUCGGCAACACUUCACUCCUCAAAUUUCUCAACUCCGGUCCUUACUUCUCAGCUUCCAACCCUACUUGCAUAUUUUAGAAGUUUGCAAAACGGCCCCCAACUCCAGCUCUUCUACGUGUGCGCAUGGAGAAAGGGAAUCGGGGCAAGUGGAGGCUAUGAGAGAUUCGUGGGAUUAUGUUUUCUUUUUUUUCUUCUCAAACCGAUAAGUGGCGGGUAAAAAUUGUACAAGACGGAGUGUGUGGAGCAGCACUUUUCCAACUCCAGCAGUUUGUACUACGGGCCGCUCCGCUCCGGAUUAUGAAAUCCACGGAGUUACGCGUUCGGUGCAGUUCCGCCGGUUCCGUGGCGGAGUUGAGGAGUGGAGGGCUCCCGGGCACUUAAUUAUGUCCGGUAACAAAAAUUCUCAAAAUAUACUUUACUACCAUUCUGGAUGAGAAGUCAGAGACCCUUCCGCACGGCCGGUAUGGACUAGAGGUCGUUGUACCUGGCUGCCACGCGGCCAGCGCCGACAAAGUCCUUCAUCGCGGCCGCCCUGGACGAGGGCACCAGGAGUUACGUAUCUGAUCUUUUUUUUUUCCUUUCUUUUCUUUAAAGCUGUUAUAUACAUCUGAUCCUGGAGGAAUGGAAACGUAAAGUGAAGGAGCGGGAUUGAGCAGCUGGGAUUGGAAACAGAGCGGCCGUGGGGUUGCGUGCUUUAAGAUUGGAGUUGGAAUGGACCCGGUCUCAGAAUUUAUUUUCCCAUCUUCUCCGCCUCCGCCUCCGCCUCCUCCUCUGCCUAGCUCCACCUCCGCCGAUGGCAGCCGCCACUCCAAGCAAAAGCAACAAGGACGCCAUGGCCUUCGACUAUGCCAAAAUGCUCAUACCGAUCUCGCCUUCUGCUAUCAGGGCCGUUAGAGUUAUAAUAUAAGUCAUGUACCCCUUUUGUAUUUAUCCCGUUGUAUAAGGGGUUUCCUACAUAUGUUCCACACUUGUACAUGCAUAUAUAUCGGCCUAUGGCCUCAUGAGAAUACAAGUUGCUUAUACCUAACAUGGUAUUAGAGCUAGGUCAAUUUUUUGCACGCUGCAACUCGUGCGAUUGAUCCAUCCCGAUCGAAGCAGUCCCGCUCGAUCUCCAACCGGCCUCGUGUGAUUGAUCUCCUGAUCGAAGUCUUCCUCGAUCUCCUUCUCCUCCCCGUUCCGCUGCAGAUAGAAGCGCUCACCACGACCUCCCGUGAUCAAUGUGCUCCAGGCCCCGCUCCAGAUCGAAAUCACCUCCAACCGCCGGGCCUCCAGUCGUCUCAGUCGCCGAUUCCCAUCGCCCAGCUGCAGCCAGCUUCAAGUGACGAGGCGCUCAUCUUCCUGCUCGCCUCUACUUCUUUCUAGAUCGGAUCCCACCGCCUAGCUGCUCGAUUCUGCCCUCCAGAUCGGAUCGGGCUUCCACGCAGUCGUUGACCAAAAAAAAGUCUGCUGCAUCGGGCUAUGUUGCUGUCCCUUGCUGUCCGGUGAUCUUCGAUGGUACUAACUACACUGAGUUCACUGGCUUCAUGCGCAUUCACAUGCGUGGCAUCCGUCUCUGGGGCGUUCUUUCUGGCGAGGUCUGCUGUCCGCCACGUCCGGUUCCUCCGGUGGCUCCUAUUCCGCCGACUCCACCGGUUCUUCCUCCGGAUGCUAAUCAGGCCGCCAAGGAUGCGGCUAAGCUUGCUGAUGAGGCUGCUGAUCGUGCUUAUGAUGAGAGGGUUUUGGCUUAUGAGGAGGCUCUUCAAACGUAUCAUGGUGCUCUGUCUGUUUACACCCAGUGGCUUGAUGAUGAUGCUCGUGCUGCAGUUGUUCUCACUGCUAGUGUUCUGCCUCAGUUUGCUUUUGAGUUUCUGGGUCUUCCUACUAUCUUUGAGAUGUGGACCCGUCUUCGUCAGCGCUAUCAGCCCUCUGGUGAUGCCUUAUACCUUUCUGUGGUCCGUCAGGAGCAUGCUCUUCAGCAGGAUGACUCUACUGUUGAUGACUUCUAUGCACAGAGUUCUGCUAUCUGGCGCCAGCUUGAUUCUCUCCGCAGUGCUAGUUGUCGUACCUGCCCCUGUUGCCAGGCUGUCCAGGCCAAUUUGGAGUUUCAUCGCGUCUAUGAGUUCCUGUCUCGGCUCCGUAAGGAGUUUGAGCCCCGGCGUGCUCAGUUGUUUGCUCGUGGCCGUAUUUCUCUCAUGGAGGCGCUUUCUGAGAUUCGUGCUGAGGAGACUCGCUUACGUGGUGCUGGUUUGCUGGAGGUUCCCUCUGUGCUCGCUACUCGUGCUCCUACGCCACCUGCUGCACCGAUCCCCUCUCGCUCGAGUGCUCCGCCGCUCUUGCCCACUCCUUCCGGAAGCUCAGGUCGCCCCCGUCCACAUUGCGACUAUUGCAACAAUGAUGGUCAUCUUGAGUCUCAGUGCUACACGAAGAAGAAACACCUGCGCAAGGCGCGAUCAUCAUCUUCAGGGACUUUGUCAUCUACCUCGACAGCUUCAGCCAUUGCUUUGACUGACCAGGAUAUUCUGAGACUUAAGCGUCUGCUCGCAGCUUCAGGUUCUUCCUCGACGGGUACUGCUGGUUCUAUGACUGAUGCUUCCCGCACUGAGCAAUCACCCUCUACACAGUCAGGUACAUCCCCAUGGGUUCUGGACUCUUGAGCUUCUUUUCAUAUGUCUUCUCAUUCUUCCACUUUGUCCUCUCUUCGAUCACUGGAUUCUCCUGUUCAUGUCCUCACUGCUGAUGGUACUCCACUUUCUGUUGCUAGUAGAGGCAAUCUUACCACUCCUUCUUAUUCUGUUCCUGAUGUUGCUCAUGUUCCUCGACUUACCAUGAAUCUGUUUUCUGCUGGUCAACUUACUGAUUCUGGUUGUCGCGUCAUCCUUGACGUUGUCUCUUGUUCUGUCCAGGACCGUCGCACGCACACUCUGGUUGGGGCUGGCCCUCGCCGCCGUGAUUCUCAGGGUCUUUGGGAGUUGGACUGGCUUCAUGUUCCUUCCGCUGCCACCAUCGCCAGUUCUUCCGCUUCUGUCUCCUCCGUUACUGGUUCCUUCCAGCAGUGGCAUCAUCGACUUGGUCAUCUGUGUGGUUCUCGGUUGUCUUCUUUAGUUCGUCGAGGUCUUCUGGGGUCUGUCUCAGGAGAUGUCUCUUUAGAGUGUCAGGGUUGUCGUCUUGGCAAGCAGAUUCAGUUACCAUAUUCACAUAGUGAGUCAGUGUCCAAGCGUCCUUUCGAUUUAGUCCAUUCUGAUGUAUGGGGUCCGGCCCCUUUCGCUUCGAAAGGUGGUCAUAAAUACUAUAUUAUUUUCAUAGAUGAUUUCUCUCGUUACACAUGGCUUUAUUUCAUGACUUCUCGUUCUGAGGUGUUGUCUAUUUAUAAGCAUUUUGCUGCCAUGGUUCAUACUGUUGGGGAACGUUGCAGAAAACAAAAAAUUUCCUACGGUUUCACCAAGAUCCAUCUAUGAGUUCAUCUAGCAACGAGUGAUCAGAUUGCAUCUACAUACCUUUGUAGAUCACGCGCGGAAGCGUUCAAAGAACGGGGAUGAGGAAGUCGUACUCGACGUGAUCCAAAUCACCGGAGAUCCUAGCGCUGAACGGACGGCACCUCCGCGUUCAACACACGUACGGUCAACGUGACGUCUCCUCCUUCUUGAUCCAGCAAGGGGGAAGGAGAGGUUGAGGAAGAUGGCUCCAGCAGCAGCACGACGGCGUGGUGGUGGUGGAGCAGCAGUACUCCGGCAGGGCUUCGCCAAGCUCGUGACGGAGGAGGAGAUGUGUUGGGGAGGGGAGGGGCUGCGCCUUGGAUGUUCUUUGCAGCCCUUCCCUCACCCCUCUAUUUAUAGGGGAAGGGGGAAGGGGGCCGGCCCCCUCUAGAUGAGAUCUAGAGGGGGGGGGGGGCGGCCAAGGGGAGGGGGGCUUGCCCCCCAAGCAAGGGGGCGCCCCCCUUUAGGGUUUCCCCCAACCCUAGGCGCAUGGGCCCUAGGGGGAGUGGCGCCCCAGCCCACUUUGGGCUGGAUCCCUUCCUCAUACAGCCCAUAAGGCCCUCCGGGAGAGGUGGCCCCUCCCGGUGGACCCCCGGAACCCCUCCGGUGGCCCCGGUACAAUACCGAUAUGCCCCCGAACCUUUCCGGUGACCGUAUGACAACUUCCCAUAUAUAAUUCUUUACCUCCAGACCAUUCCGGAACUCCUCGUGACGUCCGAGAUCUCACCCGGGACUCCGAACAACUUUCGGGUUACUGCAUAUACAUAUCUCUACAACCCUAGCGUCACCGAACCUUAAGUGUGUAGACCCUACGGGUUCGGGAGACAUGCAUACAUGACCGAGAUGACUCUCCGGUCAAUAACCAACAGCGGGAUCUGGAUACCCAUGUUGGCUCCCACAUGCUCCUCGAUGAUCUCAUCGGAUGAACCACGAUGUCGAGGACCUAAUCAAUCCCGUACUCAAUUCCUUUGUCAAUUGGUACGUUACUUGCCCGAGACUCGAUCGUCGGUAUCCCAAUACCUUGUUCAGUCUCGUUACCGGCAAGUCACUUUACUCGUACCGUAAUGCAUGAUCCCGUGAUCAACCACUUGAUCACAUUGAGCUCAUUAUGAUGAUGCAUUACCGGGUGGGCCCAGAGAUACCUCUCCGUCAUACGGAGUGACAAAUCCCAGUCUCGAUUCGUGCCAACCCAACAGACACUUUCGGAGAUACCUGUAAUGUACCUUUAUAGUCACCCAGUUAUGUUGUGACGUUUGGCACACCCAAGGCACUCCUACGGUAUCCGGGAGUUGCACAAUCUCAUGGUCUAAGGAAAUGAUACUUGACAUCCAGAAAAGCUACAGCAAAGGAACUACACGAUCUUUGUGCUAUGCUUAGGUUUGGGUCUUGUCCAUCACAUCAUUCUCCUAAUGAUGUGAUCCCGUUAUCAAUGACAUCCCCAUGUCCAUAGCCAGGAAACCAUGACUAUCUGUUGAUCAACGAGCUAGUCAACUAGAGGCUCACUAGGGACACAUUAUGGUCUAUGUAUUCACACAUGUAUUACGAUUUCCAGACAAUACAAUUAUAGCAUGAAUAAUAGACAAUUAUCAUGAACAAGGAAAUAUAGUAAUCAUUUUAUUAUUGCCUCUAGGGCAUAUUUCCAACAGUCUCCCACUUGCACUAGAGUCAAUCAUCUAGUUACAUUGUGAUGAAUCGAACACCCAUGGAAUUCUGGUGUUGAUCAUGUUUUGCUCUAGGGAGAGGUUUAGUCAACGGAUCUGCUACAUUCAGGUCCGUAUGUACUUUACAAAUCUCUAUGUCCCCAUUUUGAACACUUUCACGAAUGGAGUUGAAGCGACGCUUGAUAUGCCUGGUCUUCCUGUGAAACCUGGGCUCCUUGGCAAGGGCAAUAGCUCCAGUGUUAUCACAGAAGAGAGUCAUCGGGACCGACGCAUUGGGUAUGACUCCUAGGUCGGUAAUGAACUCCUUCACCCAGACUGCUUCGUGUGCUGCCUCCGAGGCUGCCAUGUACUCCGCUUCACAUGUAGAUCCCGCCACAACGCUUUGCUUGCAACUGCACCAGCUUACUGCCCCACCAUUCAAAAUAUACACGUAUCUGGUUUGUGAUUUAGAGUCAUCCAGAUCUGUGUCGAAGCUAGCAUCGACGUAACCCUUUACGACAAGCUCUUCGUCACCUCCAUAAAUGAGAAACAUUUCCUUAGUCCUUUUCAGGUACUUCAGGAUAUUUUUGACCGCUGUCCAGUGUUCCAUGCCGGGAUUACUUUGGUACCUUCCUACCAAACUCACGGCAAGGUUUACAUCAGGUCUGGUACACAGCAUAGCAUACAUGAUAGACCCUAUGGCCGAGGCAUAGGGGACGACACUCAUCUUUUCUCUAUCUUCUGCCGUGGUCGGGCAUUGAGCCAAGCUCAAUCUCGUACCUUGCAAUACAGGCAAGAACCCCUUCUUUGACUGGUCCAUUUUGAACUUCUUCAAUAUCUUGUCAAGGUACGUACUCUGUGAAAGACCAAUGAGGCGUCUCGAUCUAUCUCUAUAGAUCUUGAUGCCUAAUAUAUAAGCAGCUUCUCCAAGGUCCUUCAUUGAAAAACACUUGUUCAAAUAGGCCUUUAUGCUUUCCAAGAAUUCUAUAUCAUUUCCCAUCAACAGUAUGUCAUCCACAUACAAUAUGAGAAAUGCUACAGAGCUCCAACUCACUUUCUUGUAAAUGCAGGCUUCUCCAUAAGUCUGCAUAAACCCAAAUGCUUUGAUCAUCUCAUCAAAGCGAAUGUUCCAACUCCGAGAUGCUUGCACCAGCCCAUAAAUCGAGCGUUGGAGCUUGCACACCUUGUCAGCAUUCUUAGGAUCGACAAAACCUUCCGGCUGCAUCAUAUACAGUUCUUCCUUAAGAUAACCGUUAAGGAAUGCCGUUUUGACGUCCAUUUGCCAUAUCUCAUAAUCAUAGUAUGCGGCAAUUGCUAACAUGAUUCGGACGGACUUCAGCUUUGCUACGGAAAAGAAUGUCUCAUCGUAGUCAACCCCUUGAACUUGUCGAUAACCCUUAGCGACAAGCCUAGCUUUAUAGAUGGUCACAUUACCAUUUGCGUCUGUCUUCUUCUUAAAGAUCCAUUUAUUUUCUAUGGCUCGCCGAUCAUCGGGCAAGUCAGUCAAAGUCCAUACUUCGUUUUCAUACAUGGAUCGUAUCUCGGAUUUCAUGGCUUCCAGCCAUUUGUCGGAAUCCGGGCCCGCCAUCGCUUCUUCAUAGUUCGAAGGUUCACCGUUGUCUAACAACAUGAUUUCCAAGACAGGGUUGCCGUACCACUCUGGUGCGGAACGUGUCCUUGUGGACCUUCGAAGUUCAGUAGGAGCUUGAUCAGAAGUAUCUUGAUCAUCAUCAUUAACUUCCUCUCUAAUUGGUGCAGGCACCACAGGAACAUUUUCCUGAGUUACGCCACUUUCCGGUUCAAGAGGCAAUACUUCAUCAAGUUCUACUUUCCUCCCACUUACUUCUUUCAAGAGAAACUCUUUCUCUAGAAAGGAUCCAUUCUUGGCAACAAAGAUCUUGCCUUCGGAUCUGAGGUAGAAGGUAUACCCAAUAGUUUCUUUAGGGUACCCUAUGAAGACGCAUUUUUCCGACUUGGGUUCGAGCUUUUCAGGUUGAAGUUUCUUGACAUAAGCAUCGCAUCCCCAAACUUUUAGAAAUGACAGCUUAGGCUUCUUCCCAAACCAUAAUUCAUACGGUGUCGUCUCAACGGAUUUCGACGGAGCCCUAUUUAAAGUGAAUGCGCCAGUCUCUAAAGCAUAGCCCCAAAAUGACAGCGGUAAAUCGGUAAGAGACAUCAUAGAUCGCACCAUAUCUAAUAGAGUGCGAUUACGACGUUCGGACACACCAUUACGCUGAGGUGUUCCAGGCGGCGUGAGUUGUGGAACUAUUCCACAUUUUCUUAAGUGUGUACCAAAUUCGUGACUCAAGUAUUCUCCUCCACGAUCUGAUCGCAAAAACUUGAUUUUUCUGCCACGUUGAUUCUCAACCUCACUCUGAAAUUCCUUGAACUUUUCAAAGGUUUCAGACUUGUGUUUCAUUAAGUAGAUAUACCCAUAUCUACUCAAGUCAUCAGUGAGGGUGAGAACAUAACGAUAGCCACCACGAGCCUCAACACUCAUUGGACCGCACACAUCAGUAUGUAUGAUUUCCAAUAGGUUGGUUGCUCGCUCCAUUGUUCCUGAGAACGGAGUCUUGGUCAUCUUACCCAUGAGGCAUGGUUCGCACGUGUCAAAUGAUUCGUAAUCAAGAGACUCUAAAAGUCCAUCUGUAUGGAGCUUCUUCAUGCGUUUGACACCUAUGUGACCAAGGCGGCAGUGCCACAAGUAUGUGGGACUAUCAUUAUCAACCUUACAUCUUUUGGCAUUCACACUAUGAAUAUGUGUAGCAUUACGCUCAAGAUUCAUUAAGAAUAAACCAUUCACCAUAGGAGCAUGACCAUAAAACAUAUCUCUCAUAUAAAUAGAACAACCAUUAUUCUUGGAUUUAAAUGAGCAGCCAUCUCGUAUUAAACGAGAUCCUGAUACAAUGUUCAUGCUCAAACUUGGCACUAAAUAACAAUUAUUGAGGUUCAAAACUAAUCCCGUAGGUAAAUGUAGAGGUAGCGUGCCGACGGCGAUCACAUCGACCUUGGAACCAUUCCCGAUGCGCAUCGUCACCUCGUCCUUCGCCAAUCUCCGCUUAUUCCGCAGCUCCUGCUUUGAGUUACAAAUGUGAGCAACUGCACCAGUAUCAAAUACCCAGGAGCUACUACGAGUAUUGGUAAGGUACACAUCAAUUACAUGUAUAUCACAUAUACCUUUCGUUUUGCCGGCCUUCUUGUCCGCUAAGUAUUUGGGGCAGUUCCGCUUUCAGUGACCACUUCCCUUGCAAUAAAAACACUCAGUCUCGGGCUUGGGUCCAUUCUUUGGCUUCUUCCCGGUAGCUUGCUUACCGGGCGCGUCAACUCCUUUGCCGUCCUUCUUGAAGUUCUUCUUACCCUUGCCUUUCUUGAACUUAGUGGUUUUAUUCACCAUCAACACUUGAUGGUCCUUUUUGACUUCUACCUCUGCUGAUUUCAGCAUUGCAAAUACUUCAGGAAUGGUCUUUUCCAUCCCCUGCAUAUUGAAGUUCAUCACAAAGCUCUUGUAGCUUGGUGGAAGCGACUGGAGGAUUCUGUCAAUGACCGCGUCAUCCGGGAGAUUAACUCCCAGCUGAGUCAAGCGGUUAUGUAACCCAGACAUAGUGAGUAUGUGCUCACUGACAGAACUAUUUUCCUCCAUCUUACAGCUGAAGAACUUGUCGGAGACUUCAUAUCUCUCGACCCGGGCAUGAGCUUGGAAAACCAUUUUCAGCUCUUCGAACAUCUCAUAUGCUCCGUGUCGCUCAAAACGCUUUUGGAGCCCCGGUUCUAAGCUGUAAAGCAUGCCGCACUGAACGAGGGAGUAAUCAUCAACACGUGUCUGCCAAGCGUUCAUAACAUCUUGGUUCUGUGGGAUGGGUGCGUCACCUAGCGGUGCUUCUAGGACAUAAUCUUUCUUGGCAGCUAUGAGGAUGAUCCUCAGGUUCCGGACCCAGUCCGUAUAGUUGCUGCCAUCGUCUUUCAGCUUGGUUUUCUCUAGGAACGCGUUGAAGUUGAGGACAACGUUGGCCAUUUGAUCUACAAGACAUAUUGUAAAGAUUUUAGACUAAGUUCAUGAUAAUUAAGUUCAUCUAAUCAAAUUAUUCAAUGAACUCCCACUUAGAUAGACAUCCCUCCAGUCAUCUAAGUAUAACAUGAUCCGAGUUGACUAGGCCGUGUCCGAUCAUCACGUGAGACGGACUAGUCAACAUCGGUGAACAUCUUCAUGUUGAUCGUAUCUUCUAUACGACUCAUGCUCGACCUUUCGGUCUUCUGUGUUCCGAGGCCAUGUCUGUACAUGCUAGGCUCGUCAAGUCAACCUAAGUGUAUUGCGUGUGUAAAUCUGUCUUACACCCGUUGUAUGUGAACGUUGGAAUCUAUCACACCCGAUCAUCACGUGGUGCUUCGAAACAACGAACUGUCGCAACGGUGCGCAGUUAGGGGGAACACUUUCUUGAAAUUAUUAUGAGGGAUCAUCUUAUUUACUACCACCGUUCUAAGUAAAUAAGAUGCAAAAACAUGAUAAACAUCACAUGCAAUCAAAUAAUAAUAGUGACAUGAUAUGGCCAAUAUCACAUAGCUCAUUUGAUCUCCAUCUUGGGGUCCAUGAUCAUCUUGUCACCGGCAUGACACCAUGAUCUCCAUCAUCAUGAUCUCCAUCAUCGUGUCUCCAUGAAGUUGCUCGCCAACUAUUACUUCUACUACUAUGGCUAACGCGUUUAGCAAUAAAGUAAAGUAAUUUACAUGGCGUUUCUCAAUGACACGCAGGUCAUACAAAAAAUAAAGACAACUCCUAUGGCUCCUGCCGGUUGUCAUACUCAUCGACAUGCAAGUCGUGAUUCCUAUUACAAGAACAUGAUCUCAUACAUUACAUAUAUAUCAUUCAUCAUUCAUCACAACUUUGGCCAUAUCACAUCACAAAUCACUUGCUGCAAAAACAAGUUAGACGUCCUCUAAUUGUUGUUGCAAGUUUUACGUGGCUGCAAAAGGGUUCUAGCAAGAAUGUUUUCUUACCUACGUAAUAGCCACAACGUGAUUUGUCAACUUCUAUUUACCCUUCAUAAGGACCCUUUUCAUUGAAUCCGCUCCAACUAAAGUGGGAGAGACAGACACCCGCUAGCCACCUUAUGCAACUAGUGCAUGUCAAUCGGUGGAACCAGUCUCACGUAAGCGUACGUGUAAGGUCGGUCCAGGCCGCUUCAUCCCACAAUACCGUUGAAGCAAGAUAAGACUAGUAGCGGCAAGAAAGUUGACAACAUCUACGCCCACAACAAAUUGUGUUCUACUCGUGCAAGGAGAACUACGCAUAGACCUAGCUCAUGAUGCCACUGUUGGGGAACGUUGCAAAACAAAAAUUUUCCUACGGUUUCACCAAGAUCCAUCUAUGAGUUCAUCUAGCAACGAGUGAUCGGAUUGCAUCUACAUACCUUUGUAGAUCACGCGCGGAAGCGUUCAAAGAACGGGGAUGAGGAAGUCGUACUCGACGUGAUCCAAAUCACCGGAGAUCCUAGCGCCGAACGGACGGCACCUCCGCGUUCAACACACGUACGGUCAGCGUGACGUCUCCUCCUUCUUGAUCUAGCAAGGGGGAAGGAGAGGUUGAGGAAGAUGGCUCCAGUAGCAGCAUGACAGUGUGGUGGUGGUGGAGCAGCAGUACUCCGGCAGGGCUUCGCCAAGCUCGUGACGGAGGAGGAGAUGUGUUGGGGAGGGGAGGGGCUGCGCCUUGGAUGUUCUUUGCAGCCCUCCCCUCACCCCUCUCUUUAUAGGGGAAGGGGGAAGGGGGCCGGCCCCCUCUAGAUGAGAUCUAGAGGGGGGGCGACGGCCAAGGGGAGGGGGGGCUUGCCCCCCAAGCAAGGGGGCGCCCCCCUUUAGGGUUUCCCCCAACCCUAGGCGCAUGGGCCCUAGGGGGAGUGGCACCCCAGCCCACUUUGGGCUGGAUCCCUUCCUCAUACAGCCCAUAAGGCCCUCCGGGAGAGGUGGCCCCUCCCGGUGGACCCCCGGAACCCCUCCGGUGGCCCCGAUACAAUACCGAUAUGCCCCCGAACCUUUCCGGUGACCGUAUGACAACUUCCCAUAUAUAAUUAUUUACCUCCGGACUAUUCCGGAACUCCUCGUGACGUCCGGGAUCUCAUCCGGGACUCCGAACAACUUUCGGGUUACUACAUAUACAUAUCUCUACAACCCUAGCGUCACCGAACCUUAAGUGUGUAGACCCUACGGGUUCGGGAGACAUGCAUACAUGACCGAGACGACUCUCCGAUCAAUAACCAACAGCGGGAUCUGGAUACCCAUGUUGGCUCCCACAUGCUCCUCGAUGAUCUCAUCGGAUGAACCACGAUGUCGAGGACCUAAUCAAUCCCGUACUCAAUUCCCUUUGUCAAUCGGUACGUUACUUGCCCGAGACUCGAUCGUCGGUAUCCCAAUACCUUGUUCAGUCUCGUUACCGGCAAGUCACUUUACUCGUACCGUAAUGCAUGAUCCCGUGAUCAACCACUUGAUCACAUUGAGCUCAUUAUGAUGAUGCAUUACCGAGUGGACCCAGAGAUACCUCUCUGUCAUACGGAGUGACAAAUCCCAGUCUCGAUUCGUGCCAACCCAACAGACACUUUCAGAGAUACCUGUAAUGUACCUUUAUAGUCACCCAGUUACGUUGUGACGUUUGGCACACCCAAGGCACUCCUACGGUAUCCGGGAGUUGCACAAUCUCAUGGUCUAAGGAAAUGAUACUUGACAUCCAGAAAAGCUACAGCAAACGAACUACACGAUCUUUGUGCUAUGCUUAGGUUUGGGUCUUGUCCAUCACAUCAUUCUCCUAAUGAUGUGAUCCCGUUAUCAAUGACAUCCCCAUGGCCAUAGCCAGGAAACCAUGACUAUCUGUUGAUCAACGAGCUAGUCAACUAGAGGCUCACUAGGGACACAUUAUGGUCUAUGUAUUCACACAUGUAUUACGAUUUUUGGACAAUACAAUUAUAGCAUGAAUAAUAGACAAUUAUCAUGAACAAGGAAAUAUAAUAAUCAUUUUAUUAUUGCCUCUGGGGCAUAUUUCCAACACAUACUCAAUUCUCUUCACCCAUUCGUGUUUUUCGUGCUGACUCCGCUGGCGAGUAUAUCUCUAAGAUGUUGCGUGGUGUUCAUGCUCAGAAUGGUGUGGCUGAGCGAAAGCAUCGACAUCUUCUUGAGAUGGCUCGUGCAUUGAUGAUUGCUGCCUCUCUCCCGCCUCAUUUUUGGGCUGAGGCCGUCUCCACAUCCACCUAUCUUAUCAAUAUACAGCCUUCCGCUGCUCUACAGGGUGGUGUUCCUUUCGAGCGACUUUUUGAUCGUUCUCCCGAUUAUUCGAUGCUUCGCUCGUUUGGUUGUGUUUGCUAUGUUCUUCUUUCCCCUCGCGAACGCACCAAACUGACCGCUCAGUCUGUGGAGUGUGCCUUCUUAGGCUACAGUGAUGAGCAUAAGGGCUAUCGUUGUUGGGAUCCUAUCGGCCGUCGGAUGCGUAUCUCUCGAGACGUGACUUUUGAUGAGUCUCGUCCCUUCUACCCACGUCCAUCUUCCUCGACUUUUUCAGUGCAUGAUAUCUCUUUCCUCACUUUUCCUGACUCACCUAUCACCCCCGUCGAGCCUGUACCUCUCCGUUCCACUUCCUCUCCUUCUCCACCUCUAGUUGAUUUGCAGCCACCAUCCUCCCCGGUCUCCUCGCCUAGCAUGUCACCGGGUUCUCCACCUUCAUCUCUGGUGACUUCCUCCCCGGUCUCCUCUCCCAGCAUGUCACCGAAUUUUACACCUUCAUCUCCGGUGACUUCUUCAUCGCCACCCCCCGAUUCUACCUUGACGAUUCCUCCUUCUAUUAUUCCAUCUUUUCCUCAGCAUUACACUCAUCGUCCACGACCAGUCGAUGCCUCUGUGGAUGAGUCGUCAUCUUCCUCUCAGCCUACUUAUGGCUUGCGUUCUCGUCCUCGUCCGCCUGUUGAUCGCUUUGGAUUUCCCACCACUGGUGCUGCUGUUCUUGAGCCGACUUCUUAUCGUCAGGCUGUUGUUCAUCCUGAAUGGCAGUUUGCGAUGGCAGAGGAGAUUGCUGCUCUUGAACGCACCGGUACCUGGGAUCUUGUUUCUCUUCCUCCCGGAGUCCGUCCGAUCACUUGUAAGUGGGUCUACAAGGUUAAGACUCGCUCCGAUGGUUCUCUUGAGCAUCACAAAGCUCGUCUUGUGGCUCGUGGUUUUUAGCAGGAGCACGGUCGUGAUUAUGACGAGACUUUUGCUCCUGUGGCCCAUAUGACCACUGUUCGUACACUUCUUGUCGUUGCCUCUGCACGCCACUGGUCUAUAUCUCAGCUUGAUGUUAAGAAUGCCUUUCUUAAUGGUGAGCUGCGUGAGGAGGUGUACAUGCAGCCACCACCUGGGUAUUCUGUUCCUGAUGGCAUGGUAUGUCGUCUUCGUCGCUCUCUCUAUGGCCUUAAGCAAGCCCCCCGCGCCUGGUUUGAGCGCUUUGCCUCUGUGAUCACUGCUGCUGGUUUUUCAGCAAGUGCUCAUGAUCUAGCAUUGUUUAUUCACCUUUCUCCUCGUGGUCGGACUCUUCUUCUUCUCUAUGUUGAUGACAUGAUCAUCACGGGGGAUGACCCUGAGUAUAUUGCCUUUGUAAAGGCCCGUCUUAGUGAGCAGUUUCUUAUGUCUGAUCUUGGACCUCUUCGCUACUUUUUUGGGAUUGAAGUCUCUUCUACCUCUGAUGGCUUUUUUAUAUCCUAGGAAAAGUAUAUCCAGGAUCUUCUUGCUCGUGCUGCUCUUAUUGACGAGCGCGUUGUUGAGACUCCUAUGGAGCUCAAUGUUCACCUCCAUGCUACUGAUGGUGAUCCUCUCCCUGACCCGACGCGUUAUCGUCAUCUUGUUGGCAGUCUUGUCUAUCUAGCUGUCACUCGUCCGGACAUCUCUUAUCCGGUUCAUAUUCUGAGUCAGUUUGUCUCUACUCCCACCUCGGUUCACUAUAGUCAUCUCCUUCAUGUUCUCCGAUAUCUUCGAGGCACGAUCUCUCACCGUCUAUUCUUUCCUCGCUCCAGUUCUUUACAGCUUCAGGCCUAUUCGGAUGCUACAUGGGCUAGUGAUCCUUCAGAUCGCCGUUCACUUUCUGCUUACUGUGUUUUUAUUGGUGGUUCUCUCAUUGCCUGGAAGACGAAGAAACAUCUUGCAGUUUCCCGUUCGAGUGCCGAGGCUGAGUUGCGAGCAAUGGCUCUUUUGACGGCAGAGGUGACUUGGUUACGGUGGUUACUUCAGGAUUUUGGUGUUUCUGUCACUACACCGACUCUGCUCUUAUCCGACAGUACAGGUGCUAUCAGCAUUGCGCGCGAUCCUGUGAAGCAUGAGCUCACCAAGCAUAUUGGUGUUGAUGCUUUCUAUGUGCGCGCUGGUGUGCAGGAUCAGGUUAUUGCUCUUCAGUAUGUGCCUUCCGAAUUACAGUUGGCGGAUUUCCUGACGAAGGCCCAGACUAGAGCACAACAUGGCUUUUAUCUCUCCAAACUCAGUGUUGUUCAUCCACCAUGAGUUUGAGGGGGGGUGUUAGAGUUAUAAUAUAAGUCAUGUACCCCUUUGUAUUUAUCCCGUUGUAUAAAGGGUUUCCUGCAUAUGUUCCAUACCUGUACAUGUAUAUAUAUUGGCCUAUGACCUCAUGGGAAUACAAGUUGCUUAUUCCUAACAAGGGCUACGUUGGGCUAUGACAUCAGUGCCAUCGGCAAGAUUUUGAUGGCUGAUGAUGGUCGUUCGGUCGCGGAACGAAUGGACUACUUAUCGAAGGUGAGCUCGAUUUCUUCUCUUGCCUCUUUAGUUUCUUUUUCCGUUCGGAUUUCGAGCUAUCUAUCUAGAUAAAUCUAAAACAAGUAAUUUGGGAUGGGGGUAAUAUGUGCUUAUUUUGGAUCGGCUGAAAACAAUCCAUAGAUCCCACAAUCGGAAAUAUCUAUCGUUAUUAUUUUUCAAUCCUGGUUCUCGCAAUCGAGAAGAUGGGGAAUAGAUAUUAUGAUGACUGAAACAUUUAUUGUUGUUUUCCGUCAUUUGAACUGCACUAGGAUCCUGGUUCGAUUCUUGUUUUUCCUUUUCAGUUUGUGCUCUUACUUUCCCCGAACAAUAUGCAACCAUCAAUGUUUUGAGAUGCCACCCUUUUUCUGUCGAGAAUUUUGCUUCAUUCAAGAAGCCUGAAGCUCUGGUACAUGUGGACGACCUAGAGGAUGAGGACGAUGAGGAGGUAAGAGAUUUUAGUCCAAUCUAAUGCUACUGUAUGUUUUUUUCCUGGCCGAAGUAAUUAGAUUGAUUUUAUUACUUUUGUCUGUGCUUUAGUCACUUCUACUGCUCCUUCCGUCCUAAAAUGUAAGAUGUUUUUUGACACUAUCAUAGUGUGUAAAAAAAUGUCUUACAGUUUGGAACGGAGGGGGUACUAAUUUGUAAACCACUAACCUGUGGCUGAGUGAUGAAAAGAAACCUUGUAGUGGUGUGGAACUGCAAGCCCAGGACAAGGAGGACGGGCUUGAGAUGAUAACACUCUUUAUUUCAAUGUAGAUGCUAUGAUACCAGAUUUUUUUUUGCCAUCUGAAUUCACUAGAUAAAUUUUAUUUCUGUCUGCCUUUAAUCAUUUUUCCUACUAAUUUGCGUACCUCUAAUCAGUUGAUGGACGAUGAAAAGAGAUCUGCUAGUUAUGCUGAACGCAAGUCCCUAGUGAAGGUGAACAAGAAUGCAAGAAAGCCAAGAUUAUCAGCAAGCUCUGAGUGCCAGGGAGAAGAAACUGAGGCCGGACAAAGGAACUCCCUUUAGUCAGUAAUGAUUUUUGUAUAAACACAUGCAUGCUCGUUAUUGCGAAGAGAUUAACUCUUGGAUCUGAUUUUGUAGUUCAAAAUCUGUUUUGCACUUGGAUUCAAGUAGUGAAAAAUUAAUAAAUUUGCCGCCUAAUUCAUUAGCUCGUUCAGUGAGACAAAUUAUAGUAUCAAUGCAUAUUUUUUAUUUGAUCUCAGCAACAUGGCAUGAAUCCAUGGUCAUGAUUAUGUAGCUAUAAACAUUAUGGGCAAAAUGAGUUUCAGUCGAUAAAAUUGGAGUCGUGUUCCAAACAAUUGAAACACUGGCAAUCAGAUUAUUACCAUACUGGAUACAGAUUAUUACCUGCUUCUUGUUUCUUCUAAUUACUAACAAAACAGGUACUGCCUAUGUAUGAAGUAGGAUUGUAUAAGCAUUGGGAAGAAAUCCUGUAACUCUGUUACAUUUAACACGAUGAAACAUGUAGAUGAUAUUCUGCUUUAUUUUCUCAGGUCCUGAUUACAUAACUUGAGCUUGAACACUUGGGAGUUACUCCCUCCGUCCCCAUAAUAUAAAAGCGUUUUUGAUAUUUACAGAGUGUGAUGCAGUUGUAGGGAAACAUAGAAUAACUAAUAACAUAUCUUUGCUGCUUAGGCCAUUUAAGUUGAAUGGAUUUAUUUGAACUUUCAUUUAUCAAAUUUCUCAAUGCUGCAAACCAUCUCCCAGCUAGGACGUGACAGAAUGGAUGGUUUUGUACAUUGAACAUGCCGACUGUAAACUUGGUGUGAGUUCAACAAAGGAAUGAUUAGGUUCCGAAUUAUAUAAUUUCGAAUAUAUGCUUAAAUGAGUCCUUUUCUUUUAAAUAUGGAUAAAAUACACAUUAUCAUUAAAAGUCUAUGCACAACUCAUUACCCUUACCGUAUGAUCUGUGCACACUGUUUUGUAUUAUUCUGUUUCGACAAUUUUACUUAAGUGUCCAUGCUUUUGUGUCUUCCCUGUUGUUGUCCAGGGCCACUCUGUUUUCACAUGUCUUCUUUUCAACUAACUUGGUUGAACCGAGUCAUCAAACUGAUUCUUGUGGAGUUAUUUGGUGUUUUGACAGGAGAGGCCACAAGAGGGGGGCAACAAAACUGUUGGUUGUGAUCAUGGCUUCAAUAUCGGGUCUUAUGAUAUUCAACAUGAGCUAUCGUAGGCCUUGUGUUAUGUGCAAUUUUUAUGAUUGUGUCCUAAAAACACAUCUCUGUUUCUCAUUUAAGUCAACGCGGAUAAAACAAGUUUCAUGCAUUUCAUGUCUACAACUUCGAUAUUUUUUUUAGGUACCUAGCUAAAAGAAAUUAUGAGUCGGUGUGCCAAAUUAGAGGAUGAAGCCGGAUGUUAUCUAAAAACUGCUGGCUAGGUAAGUUAUUAGUGUGUUGUGGUCAUGUUAUACACAAAUUCAACGAAUGGAGAUAUUGACGGUAGCUAUGCUGCAGCUCCCAAAUGUUGGCAAGCUUGAAAUUGUUGCUUGCUUUGUUUGAAAAAGAAAAAGAGAUUGGUGACAGGCAGCAACUUGAUCCGAAUGGCCUCUGCAUGAUUACCACAUAUAUAGCUGUUGCCUGAUGCCCGUGCAAGAUCAAACUCAUGCUUGCACCAUUACUGUUUUUUUAGACAAACAGGAAAGCUCCCCGGCUCCAUUCAUUGGAUUGCACCAUUACUGCCUCCUUGGCUGGGCGACACUACACCAUGUUCUACAGCAGCACCCCACUGGGAUAAUGUAUGUUUUUUUUUCAUGCAAGGACACUGAAGCUGGUACAAGGUCCUUAACAGUUGGUAGAAAUUGUAAGAUCACCGCGGAGAUGAUGCAAGAGAAGGAUUAGAAUGCCGACCGUACAUGGGGACGAAUACGAUUGAAGAAGACAUCACUAUAUCUGAUGCUGGUAAUUACAUUGCUGAUGAUGCUUCACAUACCUGGAAGGACAUUUCCAGUAAAUAUCUUGUUCAACAAAAUGCCAUGUGACGACUAUGUGGAACCGAUUAAAAAGAGCCCCGUCCCCAUGUCGCCAUAGCGAGCCGCCACAACCCUUCCUCCUUCCCUUCUCGCCAUUGCCGGUGCGCACCGCCGGACGAAGGUCGUGGCAUCGGCGGUGGUGGGGUGGCUCGUUCCUUUAGAAGUAAUUUUUUACUUCUGAUGCUCUUUGUACUACCUUGAUUGUUGAUGGAUAAAUUGGAAGUUUUCUCGCAAAAAAAGAGGUAUUCCAGUGGCAUGGCCUAGACCUGCGAGGGCGUCGGUUUUGGCAUGGUUUGCGGUGGCAUGGUCACGACCUUCCGUGGCGAACCUGCGCAUGUGAGGUGGCGGCGAGGCGGACUUAGGCCAAUUCCAACGCAUGACCGCAAAUGAAACAUUCGUUUCGUCCAAAUUCUGUCCAUUUGCGUCGGCAAAAGAGACAUGAGUGUCCGGAUGCGGCCGACCAGCCAUCAGUGCGCCCAAUUAGCUGCCGCAUCUCAAAAUUUUGUCCAGACUUCAAAUCUAAACCAAAAAUACAUUGCAAAAUAAUUUAAAAUAAUAUAUAUUUACACAAUAACUUAAAUGUCCACAAAGUCUCACGGCUGAACAUUGAAAAUAAACAUCAAAUUAAAAAAAACAUAAAACUAAGGAAACCCUAGAUCGGGUCAUCCGUCGCCGAUGUGCUGGCUGUCUUCAGUGGCCGCCAUCCUCCUCCUCGUCGCCCCCGGUGAAGUCGAUGUAGGGGGUGGCUGCCAUUGCAGAGCAGCCAUGGUGGUGACCAUGCCAUGGCAAUAUUACCCACGUAUCAUGCAGGUAAAAACCCUAUUAGGGUAUAUAGGACAAAAGGUUACCCAUGGAAUAUAAAUAGGAAAAUAUGAAACCCAUCGGAUAGGCAGGUACGAGUAUGGGAUCGUAUAACCCAUACCCACAUACACAUGUACUAAUAUAUAAUCUAUGUGAACUCAAAAUUAUCUCUAUAUAGUAUACACUUUGUCAUGAAUUUGUGAGCUCAAAAUGUAUGACUAUGUGUUAUUUUAAUGACUAUGUGAUGUUGUUUUGAUGUGUUGUUGUUUAUGAGAAAGUGAUGUUGUUUAUUGAAUGUGUUAUUGUUUGUAAGUAUGUGUUGUGGUUAUAAUCUUUUUUUUAGCAAAAACAGUAGGGCAAAAUCCCUACUGUAACUCUAUUUUUCAAUAUGUAUGUGUUGUUGUUAUAAGUAUGUGUUUACUACAUAAAGGAUAAUAAAUGAUGUAGUAACUAACCAUAAUAAUGAGAUCAUCUCAGUCAAACUCGCAACACCAUGAGUGGAGUACUUGAAUCUCACACUUUUGCAUUCACAACAACUAAAUACCAAUGUGUGUUGUUCAUAUUUAUUGGAAGUUCAAUCUAUAAUCAAGAUAAUCAGUAAAAUUAUGAAUAAAAAUGUAUGAAACACAAAACAUGAAAAUUACGUUUAUGGAUGUUUACAUGUCAUGCUUCACAUAGUUUUUGACAAUCUCUGUCAUAAAGGUACCAUGUUCAUGUAUUCCAAGGUUGCCAUCCUGUUUUGAUGGUCCGGUAACAAAAUCAUUCUCAAAAUAUAUUUUACUAUCAUUCUGGACAUGUACUUGGUCUUAUAUUACAAAGUUUGACCAAAGGUACCAUGUUCAUGUAUUCCAAGGUUGCUUGCUUUCCUGACUGCUACUUCACAUAUCCGCACACACUUGGCAAGGCCAAACUGGAGAAAGGUACGCUCUGAUGCAGCCAAUACCUACGAGAACGCUCGUUUAGGUCAGUCACAUUUGAUUAAACUAGCAAACAUGUCCAUGCAUUACUACGGAAGACCAAAAAAUUACACGCUAGCCAAACAAGUAUGACUCAAUACCCUGACAUAUGAGUGUCCUCUAUUUUAACACGAUGGCUACCAUGUUGCCACUUAUCUUUCUUCUCACCCUUGUGGAUGAUGGAUGUGGUGUCCACAUGAUCGCAAUGCAUUCGACGUGGUAAAUCCCAAGGCAAUGAGCUUGCCACUGCACGACACACUUGUCAUUAUCUCACGCAAAGGAAUGUAUAAAACUUUAUUAAAACAAAUCUCAUCGACCACAAACUAUUCCCAAUGCCUAGACAUAUAAAGACUUUAUAAAAACUAAUCAAAUCCUAGGCAUAAAAAACUCUUCAUAAAAACUAAUCAAAUCCUAGACAUAAAAUACUUCUGUAUCGGCGAACCGUUUUCGAACAGACAAACAUUUUUUUAAAAUUUGGGCAGUUUUUUAAAUUCAGGAAUCUUUGUUUUUUUAGACGAACAUUUAUUGAAAUGCAUGAAUAUUUUUCAAAUUCAUGAUUUUUUUUGACUCAGCAAACAUUUAUUGAAUCGAUGAACUUUACUAAUUUUGCUUUUCACAAAUGAAAUUGAUUUUUCUGAAUAUUUUCUAAAAUUUCAUGGACAUUUUUUUCAGAUUCACUAAUAUGUUUUGAAUACACAAUCAUUUUUUCAAAAUCAUGAACUUGAUUUUAUUUCCUGACAAAGUUUUUCCAAAUUGUGAUUUUUGAUAAUUUGCAAACAAUUUUUUAAAAUCACCAACAUUUGUUGGAACUGUGAAAAUUUUAUGAUUUCCCGGACAUUUUUUGAAUUCACAUACAUUUUGUAAUUUCUCGAACAUUGUUUUAGAAACUCGCAACAUUUUGAAAUUUGAUAAUCUUGAAUUAAUUUAAUGAAUGAAAAAGUAAAAACAGAAAUAGAAAAGAAAAGACAAAAAGUGAAAUGGGAAAAAAUAGGGGCAUCACGCCCCGGGGGCGGGGUGUAGGUGCGUGAGGAAAAAGAGGGGGAAAAUCGAUAGAAGCUGGGGAUCAAACCAUGGCCUCUGGGGUGGAAGAGAUAGGCUCAAGCCACCACGCUGCUACUAUCUCUAUUACUAUAUUUAUCGGGUAUAAUACCUAUAACAAUACUAAGGCCUCAUUCGGUUUGAAGGAUUUUUAUAGAAAAAAUAUGGGAACAAGGAUUCCAGAGGAAAAUUUCCUAUAUAUGCAUUCAGUUUGUAGGAAAUGCGUAAAGGAAUUUCGUAGAAAUACUAUUUAUUUCCUAUGUUUUUGGAGGAAACUACACAUCCACUCAAAACUCAUUUUGCGCAUAGGAACGAGGCAAGUCAAUUUCUUAGGGUGGCAAGUGCCAUCCUAUCAAAUUCCUAUACUACUCCAAAUUCCUAUGUUUAUAUUUCCUCCAAACCGAAUGAGCCCUAAGCACACCGGCGACUUUGGAAAAAAAAACCAAACCGUUUUUUCUUCACUUACGGGUGGCAUGGCGGGUAAUUUAUAGCAACUUUGCGGGCAAUUUCGGUGAAGGACAGGCAGAAGCAAUAGCCCCUUUACUAUUAGGAUUAGGAAAAGAUUUUGUUUGCCUGUGCAUGAACCUAUGAAUAGUUUCAAACCCAGAUUGAAUCCAGCCCAAACCAAACAACUCUAGGUCUGUGGUGCAAUCCAAUCCAAUCCAAAACUUUACAACUAUAAUCCAGACCGAACCAAAUUAUAAUGAUUUUUCACCCAAACCCAUCAAACUAUUUCUUAUUUUUGGAUUUAACCCGCAGUUUCAAACAGUGGACACAAGAAGCUGACGUGCCGACGUCGGUGUGCGACUCCACGCCCACUGCCUGCCACGUGCAUGAUGCCCCAGUCGGCGAUGGCAACUUGAGAGUUGAGACUUGGAGCAGCAGCUACCAGACCAUCGAAUCAUCGGGUAUAUAAUCAGAUGUGAUGAGAUACGUGUGUACGGGUAUGGGAAGGACACAGAAUACAUGGUUGUUUGUGAUUUUUUUUCUUCGAAGGAAAGGGCCACAGAGAGGAAAAACUGGAACCGUUCGAUGGGGAAGGACGUGCGCGGAGCACGGAUGGGAGUACGAGGGUGGAGCAGGCAAGCCGCGCUAACAAUGUUAUUCAUAGGAAUAUGACAAUGUUCCAUUGCUGGUGCAAAUUCGGGCAAUUACCCUCUAACAUCAUAUGCUACAUCUCACGCUACUGAUUUUGUGGUACCAUAUGCAACUCUAGGUAUUUCAUAAUUUGGCUUGCCACCUUCAUGCUAAUAGCCGAAUAAGUGAACACUAUAUUUAUGGUCUACAUUGUUAGGGAUCAUGUCGUCGUUAGUCGCUGCGGCUCCAGCGCCGACGGACAAGCAGACGCGCGUACUCGAGCAAGCUGUGCAUGGAUGGGAUGUUCUCCUUGACCUUGUCCACCAGCUGCACGCCUGUGAUCUCCUCAAAGACGGCUAGCCGGCGGCGGCAGCACGACAAGCUCGUCGCGUUGGACGGAAGAGGCAGUUCUCGUGGCCUUGGGCUUUACACCGACAUUAAGAGUUGUCCUCUUGGCACUAGGCCGGGAGUAUCGCCGACGUCGACGAGGUCGACAUGGACGUACCAGUGUGAUCAUGCUUCAGUUUUAACGACGUGCGAGUAUUAUGGAGGAAAAUUAUACAUAGUUGUUUGUGAUUUAUUUCUUCUAUAAGGAAAGGGCCACGAAGAGAAAAAACUGGAACCGUUCGAUGGGGAAGGACGUGAGCAGAGCACGGAUGGGAGUAGGAAGGCGGAGCAGGCAAGCCGCGUCCUCUGGCGCACGGCGGCUGCGCACGCGGAGCUGGCAGGGGUCCCGGUCCGUCCACGUCGACGACGGGAAACUACAGAGAGCCGGGUGGUCAGCUUGACGUCGUGCGCGCCCAGGCCCCAGGCGCUAGAGCUCCUUCACCGGCUGCACGUACUAUGCCAGGAUCGCGGACAGGCCGCUCAUGCUCAGCGGCUUGAUGGAUGGAAUGGAUUGAGCUACGUACGUGUAUAUGGUAGCUGGUCUUCCCGUACGGUUUGGUCCAGGGACUGGAUUCUGUCCAUGGAUUGAGAUCAUUUGAGACUGCCGUGUAUAAAAAGAGGGGUACACGUUUUGUACCCCUAUAACUAUGCACGGGCAGUCUGAGCCACGGGCAUCACCACACUGAGUAAGGCAAGGGAGGUGAGCCAAGGUAAGGCCGAAGCUCAGGAGAAGCAGAAUGAUGUCAAGACCAAGACCACAAAGAGCAAAGGGGACGAAAUGGACCCCCCCUCCCCCGGCAAGAUUCUUACCGGGAGGCGGUUUUACCAAACUCGGCAAGACCCUUGCCGUGGCAGCUCGCCCACACCUACGGAGUAAGUCAUCCUUGAGUCCACUGCCCCCAUGGGACAAGGAUUCGGGAGACAUCCCCGUGGUGGCAUGCAGAUCUUUAUGGAGACAUUCAAGAUCAGAUACACCCUUUAGAAAAUGAUGAUCCUUGACGGGAUCUCAGCCAAGGAGGACCACAAGGCCCCCGGCAAGGCCCUUGCCAAGAACACCCGUAGGACCACCAUCAGGCCCACGCCAGUCAAACCUCCACCGCCGUUCGCAUGCAGCUGCCGACCCAACCAGCUGGGCAGGCACCUGCGUGGGGGCAUGCGGGUCUUCGUGGAAACCCACCACUGCGCCACCUCAGCUGCCUGCCUGCCUACAUGGCACCGCGGGCGCCGCUGGCCAGGGCGCGUGUCGACACGAGAGGGAGCGACGACGGACGAAACAGGGCUCUCCCCCGUCCCCGAUAAAGCAGGGACACCUGGGCAAGACGCAUUAAAUGCGCCUUGUCAUGUAAUGCAAGGGAUAACCUCACAUCACUGUACCCUUUCCACCUCCUGUGUGCCACUGUGGCAACCCCUUUCCUAUAAAAGGAGGCCUGAGGCGACCAGGAGGAGGAUUCGGCUUUUUGGAGCUCCUCACACCCCAUAGCUAGCUCAAGGACACAGAUAUACAAUCCACCAAAGCAAGAGUAGAGUUUUACACAUCCUCGCGGCCCGAACCUGGAUAAACAAACCGUGUGCUAUCUGUUUGAUCCGCUCUUCUCACGACCACGCGCCCGCAACCGUAGUAGGGAUUCUUGUGAUCCCAUAGGUGUCGUUCCCACCGACAUCUUUGGCACGCCAGGUAGGGGGGCAGUUGUGAGAAUCGGCUUUAGCAGUUAGUUCGAUGCUUCUUCAUCGUCAUGGCGCCCAAGAAGAAGACGACGGUGGCGGUUGGCCCGUCGGAAGCCGGACAUCCCGUCCCGACGCGGGCGAACAUCGGACCGGUCACAGAAAGGACCCGGGGCGCCGUUCGCGAACACCAACACCGUCCCAGCAGCCGGAGUUUGGGAGGCGGCGAUGUUCGUGCGCCUGGUAACGGGCCGCACGCUGCCAAAUCCAAAGACGAAGCCAGGCCCUCCGCAGGUGGCGCGGGGCCUUCCAAGAUCGCUGCCACCCCGCCCGAAGGCGAUGCGAGGGCCUCCAAGACUCCCACGCCGGCGCCGACGGCGCGCUCCUCUCAAGCGGCGCGCGACGAACGGCAUAAUCACGCCGAAGACCCCGGGCGUCGCCACGGGAAGAGCCCCGAGCGCCACUCCUGGGAGGUAGAAGACCUGCCCGCUCGCCGAGGCACUGGUGAAGAUGGCAUGCGACCGCGGGGUCGUGAUAGAGCUCCUUCUGACAUGGUCAGAAGUCGAAGCGCGUCACGAUUCAUGCAGGUUUCGCUGCCACCAACGCCAGCAGAAGCCCUGGCGCGCGCGCAGUUGCUCCUCGAUUUUCCUCCCACUACGGGGAAACUCGACGAAUGGAGAGCCACUAUCCGAAGCCUUGUUGCGGUGGCCAACAAAGACGAACCGUGUCCGGUGGAGCCCCCGGGUCGACGCCCCAACGGAGUCCCACGCACUAGUGGCAGGAAAGCCGGCGGCGCCGCGACCAUGGUGCACUCGCCUCCUCCUCGCCCGGUACCGCGGACGUCGGCCCGUCGCGACGCUGCGGGCGACGAAAUCUCCAUAGCGUGUCCGACCCGCGGACCCAUUGUGACCAGCGCCAAGUCCUUCGGGAACGAGAACAUGAAGACGCUCGAACCACUAUCGAGCGCUGGCGCGGAGCGCGCCACCAGUCAGACAGGCGAGCAGGGCCUGCUGUGAACCACCCGGCACCGGAGAGCCCUGGAGGCCCACCUUACGAGGUAGGCUGUCCGGCUUUUACCCGUGAUCUGCGGCAGUUCCAGUGGCCCACUCACUGCACCUUCAAACCUGACGUGGGCGAAAAGUACAGCGGCAAGACCCACCCGUCCGAGUUCCUCAGCAUCUACACCAUUGCGAUGCAAGCUGCCGGAGCCCGCGACGAUAAGGUGCUUGCGAAUUACUUUCCAUUGGCUCUUAAACCCAACGCCAUGUCAUGGUUGAUGCACUUGCCGGUAGACUCCAUUUUCUCGUGGUCGGAUUUGUGCCAUGAGUUUGUGGGUGCCUUUACUAGAGGCCACCAAGCCCAUGGCCAAGCGAGCGGCCUGCACGUCAUUCCCCAGAAGGGAGGCGAGAGUCUCCGCAAGUAUAUAUAGAGGUUCAGCCGAAUACAAUACAAUAUCCCUGAUGUUCACCCUGCCGCCAUCAUCAGCGUGUUCCAUCAGGACGUGUGUAACCACAAGAUGCGCGAAGAGCUAGCAAUGAACAAGGUGAAAGAUGUAGCAGAACUCUAUGUUCUUGCUGACAGAUGUGCCCGAGCUGAAGAGGGAAGGAAGUACCCCGGCGAAGACGCCGGCGUGGAAACCGACUCCUCAGAUGAAGAUACUGCCGCCCCGGCGAAGAAGGGCCGGCGCCGCAACAGGAAGCGCAAAGGUAAAGCCGUGCUUGCCGUCGAGGGAUCUGAUGACACCGGCUCCACCAAGAAAACCAAGGCAGAUGACCCCGGCAAGGAAAUUGCCGGAUGUGUCGCCUGCCGGGCCUUGGCGGUUGCCGAGAAGCCAGGAAACUCCGACAAGCGAUACUGCAAGAUCCAUCGCACCAAAGGUCAUGCUCUCCAAGACUGCCGAUAGGUUGAGCUCCUCGCUGAGAAGCAGAGGGCUGAAUAUGAGAGGCGGGACAAGGAGAAGGGCCAAGACGGUGCUGAGGGGUCCGGCAAGAAGCAUGACGGCCAGGCGGGCCGUCGCGGCAAGGAUAAACAACAGGAGAGGCCCGCCCGGGGCCGUGACAAAAAGCCAGAAGACGACGAUCACGAAGAGGACGACGAAUCCGGCGACCAAGAGUUUCAGAAAGUUACAGAGGCCAUGGGCAUCGACGGCGGCGCCUCGCUGCAUACUUCUCACCGCCAGCUUAAACAGUGGGCGCGAGAGAUUACAGCGGCAGAGCCGUCGUUUAAUGCCCAAAGGCCGCUGAAGUGGUCCAGCACACCUAUCAUUUUUGACACUGAGGAUCACCCUGAUCGCACUACUGCGGUCGGGUGCUUGCCAUUGUUGGUUUCACCAACAAUACGCAACCUCAAGGUGACAAAGAUGCUAGUCGAUGGAGGGGCCGGUCUGAACUUGAUCUCGCCUGCCGUGAUCGAGAAACUGCAGAUUCCUGAUGGAGACCUCGAAGAGAUGGGCAUGUUUCAGAGGGUCAACCCGGGAAGAAGCCAACCUAAGGGAAAGUUCAUGCCGCCCGUGACUUUUGGAAGAAAUCUGAACUACAGGAUGGAGAGGAUCGUGUUUGAUGUUGCCAAGAUCCCCUUGCCUUACAACGGGAUCCUUGGUCGCCCAGCGCUGGCCAAGUUCAUGGCGGCGUCACACUACGCCUACAACACCCUGAAGAUGCCAGGACCUGUGAUGAUCAUCAUCAUCCCCUCCGAUAAGAAAGAUGCGCUGAUUUGUGCUGACAAACUAUACCAGCAAGCAGUUGCAGCAGCUGCCACCACUAGGGCACUUGCUCCUGCCGCUGGGACCCCGGGAAGGAAGAAGAAGAAGACCGGUGAGACCUCGGACACCCACUCCGGCAAGCGCACCUCUUUGGAGUGUAGCGCUCCCAUCGAGGACGUGCCAGAGAGCUCCACCAGCGGAAACAAGAAGCCCAGGGCCAUACCACCGGGAACCAAGAAGGUUUCUAUCAAUGAGGACGGCACGGGAGGGGCUUUCACCAUAAGCUCCACCCUUGACGACAAAUAGGAAGACGCGCUCGUCACCUUCCUGCGGGCGAAUGUCGAUGUGUUUGCAUGGCAAGCUUCUGACAUCCCCGGCGUUCCCAGGGAGGUGAUUGAGCACCACCUUGCUGUCUGUCCUCAUGCGCGGCCCGUCAAGCAGAAUGUCAGAAAGCAAGCUUUGGAACGACAAGAGUUCAUCACAGAGGAGAUCCGAAAACUGGAAGCAGUGGGUUUGGUAAGAGGAGUGCUCCAUCCAACGUGGUUGGCCAAUCCGGUCGUAGUGCACAAGGCUAAUGGGAAGUGGAGGCUGUGUAUUGAUUACACAGAUAUCAAUAAGGCUUGUCCUAAGGACCCCUUCCUGUUGCCGCGCAUCAACCAGAUUGUUGACUCCACAGCUGGGUGUGAUCUGUUGUCAUUCCUCGAUGCCUACUCCGGCUACCACCAGAUCUUCAUGACAAGAGAAGACGAAGAGAAAACAGCAUUUAUCACCCCAUGUGGUACGUAUUGUUUCAUGCGGAUGCCUUUCGGGCUGAAGAGUGCUAGUUUGACGUUUGCAAGGGCGGUCCAGAUUGGUUUUGAACCACAGCCCCAUAGAAAUAUGGAAGCUUAUAUCGAUGACAUAGUGGUCAAAACCAAGGACAGGGCAACCCUCAUAUCGGAUUUGCAAGAAACAUUUGCAAACCUGCGCAAGAUCAAUCUCAAGCUGAACCCUGAGAAGUGCGUCUUUGGCGUCCCGUCCGGCAAGCUUCUCGGGUUCUUUGUAUCACAGCGUGGGAUAUAGGCCAAUCCGGACAAGAUCAAAGCUAUAGACCAGAUUGAAGCACCCAAGCAAAUCAAGGAUGUGCGUUGGCUUGCUGGUUGCAUUGCCGCCAUGGGAAGAUUCAUUUCCAAGUCUGCCGAGCGCGCCCUUCCCUUUUUCAAGAUCUUGAAAAAGGCGGGCCCGAUGGAGUGGACGCCAGAAGCCGAAUCAGCAUUGCAAGAUUUGAAAAAGUACCUCUCCUCCGCGCCAAUACUAGUUGCGCCUAGGCCACAGGAGCCGUUGCUGCUAUACCUGGCGGCAACGAACCAGGUGGUCAGCGCCGCACUAGUGGCGCAGAGAGAGGUUGACGACGAGGUAAUGGCAGUGACAGAGCCCGACACCACCAAUGCAGAGACGACACAGCCAGUUGAAGUGCCGCCGAAGAAGAAAAUGAUGCAACACCCGGUCUACUUUGUUAGUUCCCUCCUGCAGGGAGCUAGAUCAAGGUACUCUGGCGUGCAGAAACUGCUCUUCGGCCUUCUUAUGGCCUCGAGAAAGCUGCAUCACUACUUCUAGGCACACGAGAUCACUGUCGUCACUCGCCUUCCUCUACAACGGAUAUUGCACAAUCCAGAUGCAACAAGAAGAAUUGUGGAAUGGGCACUGGAGCUGUCCAGCUUUGGCCUCAAGUUUGAAAGUACUUCGACGAUUCAGAGCCGAGUCCUGGCGGAGUUCAUUGCAGAGUGGACCACAACGCCUGACGAAGAAGCCCAAGAGACUGCUCUCCCCGGCAAGGAGGCAAGUUGCAGUUGGAUCAUGUACUUUGAUGGAGCUUUCUCCUUACACGGCGCCGGGGCUGGCGUACUGCUUGUCGCGCCCACCGGAGAGCACCUCAAGUACGUGAUCCAGAUGCACUUCCCCAGGGAGGUGUCAACAAACAAUACGGCAGAGUACGAAGGGCUGCUUGCCGGUCUUAGGAUCGCGGCGGACCUCAGAAUCAAGAAGCUCAUCGUCAGGGGCGACACGCAGCUCGUCGUCAAGCAAGUCAACAAGGACUACCAGAGCCCAUUGAUGAAGGCCUACGUCGAUGAAGUGAGAAAGCUGGAAGAGCGUUUCGACGGUAUACAGGCUGAAUACGUUCCCCGAGCGGAGAACGAUAUCUUCGAUUACCUGUAAAAACGCGCUGCCCUCAAGCUACCUGUGGAACUAGGUACCUUUGUGCUCCAGCUAACUCAGCCAUCCGUUGAUCCAUCAACAGAGCAGGACAAGAGGAGGAAAUCAGGACCCAGCAAGUACUUUCCCGCCGAGCUCCCCGGAGCCGCCAGCAAGGAUGUUACCGGGGACACUGAACCCGCCAUGGGACGGCUAGCUCCGGCGGAGCGUCAAGCUCUUGCCGUCGAGACAGCCACUCCUAUAGCAGAGGAAAUGCCUUUAGUCCUCGCUGUCGAGCCCCAGGCUCCAGCGUGGGCACAGGAUACCGUCCGAUUCCUUCAAACAGGGGAGCUUCCUGAAGAGCAGGAAGAAGCGGAAAAAGUAGCAUGUCGCUCUACCAUGUACCAGUUCGUCGAUGACGUCCUGUACAGAAAGAGGCCGAACGGUGUGAAAUUGAAGUGUAUCCCUCGGGAGGAAGGACUGGAGCUGUUGGCGGAGAUAACCGGAGGCAUAUGUGGAUCCCACAUCGGGUCAAGGGCCCUUGCCGGCAAGGCAUUUCGACAAGGCUUCUUCUGGCUCACCGCCCUCCAGGAUGCGACGACACUAGUCACCAGGUGUGAAGCGUGUCAGUUCCAUUCAAAGAAGCUUCAUCAGCCAGCUCAAGCCCUUCAAACCAUUCCUCUCUCCUGGCCCUUCUCGGUCUGGGGGCUCGACAUACUGGGCCCUUUCCCCCGCGCUGUCGGGGGCUUUGAGUACUUGUACGUUGCAAUCGACAAGUUCAUAAAGUGGCCGGAGGUGGAGGCAGUGAGGAAGGUCACAGCUCAGUCAGCCGUCAAGUUCUUCAAGGGACUAGUGUGCCGUUUUGGUGUACCCAACAGGGUCAUCACCGACAACGGCACACAGUUCACAAGCCGCACCUUCAUGCAAUAUAUCCAAGACCUCGGCAGCAAAGUCUGUUUCACUUCCGUUGCUCACCCACGAAGCAACGGUCAAGCUAAGUGGGCAAACGCUGAAGUACUGUGAGGCUUAAGGACCAAGACCUUUGACAGGCUUCACAAGAGUGGAAGGCGCUGGAUUGAUGAGUUGCGAUGGUUCUUUGGUCGAUCAGGACGACACCAAAUCGAGCCACCGGCCAGACACCCUUUGCCCUAGUAUACGGGGCGGAAGCAGUUCUCCCCACUGAACUCAUAUACGGGUCACCUCGAGUGCUCGCUUAUGAUGAUCUUGAGCAAGAACGACUGCGGCAAGAUGACGCAAUGCUCCUUGAGGAAGAUCGUCUUCGGGCGGCUGUGAGAGCAACACGCUACCAUCAAGCCUUGCGCCGCUACCAUAGCCGCAAGGUUCAUGCCCGAAGCCUUGAGGAAGGCGACCUUGUCCUUCGGCGCGUUCAAUCGGCCAAGAAUUCCAACAAGUUGACGCCAAAGUGGGAAGGCCCUUAUCGGGUAAUACGAGUCACCAAGCCCGGCGCAGUCCGCCUGGAGACCGAAGAUGCCGUUCCGGUGAGUAACUCCUGGAACAUUGAGCAUCUUCGCAAGUUUUACCCGUGAGGCGCGGCUUGCCGGGCCCCCCGGCAAGCCACCUUUUGUACAAGCAUUGCCGAUGAUGCAUGUAACCCUCUGUACAAAGCCAGGCGCAGACUCUGAGCAUAAAUAAAUGAAGCGCUGGCGCCCUAAGUUAUAGCAUGCAUGCUAGGUCGAGUCUCGUCCUUGGUUAGGGUUGAUAGUGCUUAGCGGCGACUAACCCCUAGCUUAGAGGUCGAGUGUGCGUCUCUUUGUCUUUCUUUUGUCUUCUUUGGUUCGCAUGACACACGGAUAUCCGUGCCGAACCACUUGGGGAGGAAAAGAAGAUGAACAGACCAGCAUCUAGCCCCCGGCAAGCCAGCAUUGCCGGGGGCUGCAAGAGCAAAGAUUCACCCACGGCAAACCAGGGUUGCCGGGGGCUGCAUCUUCAGAUAAGUUCUUCAUCCCUUAUCAUGCAUUCCAUUAUGGACUGAGGUAUGUGAAACCUUGUUUUCCCCUAAGCUACCGUGCUCCCAUAACUCUAGGCCCUAGGGCUCGUUCCUGGGGCCAAGUUUGGUCGUAGUCGCGGCAGCGAAAGGAUGAAACAAGGAGCCAGAACCCACCUCAUCCCUGCCUUCGCCAAAGGCGUGAGGAAGGUCGAGCGAAGUGGGGAGACGGCAAGGCCUGUUGCCAGGCAAGGAAAUGUUUAUCUUGAAGAUAUCAAGGAUUUACUCCUUGUCGUGGGUUCCACCAGCAAACAAAUGACCCGGCAAGCAUCCCUUUUUCAUUAAAAACAUUCCACUCAGGUACAGUCCAUAGGGAAUGAAAAACAUGAAUGAUGGGAUUACAAGUUUUAAAUUCAACAAAGGCCUGAAGGCUUACAAACUAAAAAGAGAUAAGGUGCCUGUAAUCCCUUUCUUGUCCCUCUCCUCAGGAGGCAGGUCAAGGAGGCGAAAGAGACAAAAGGAGCGCCUAGGCGAGCUACGGGUGACAGAAGACACCAAGAGAACAUCUUGGCGGCCGUCCAAAGGCUGGAUGGUGAUGGCGGCGCCGGAAGCAGAGCUCGAAGACGAGGCGGCAGGACGUCAGCACGCGUCGAAUGCGUUGGUGCCCACGUACUCCGACUUGACGGCCUUGCCGCCCGCCCUCUUCCUCUUCCGCAGCCUCCCAACGCCAGCCGCCCAAGGAGACGACCCCAAGAAGUUCAGGGAGCCGGCGACGCGGAUGAUGGGGUCGCCGGUGCCGCACGGAGCGGCACCCGACACCUAAUCGGACCCGUCAUCCUACCGCCUACUACCCUCAUCGUCGCUGCUGCUGUCCUCCUCAUCACUCCCGCCCGAGGAGGAGUCUUCACUAUCAGAAGAGCUCUCCACGCAGCACCUUGCACGGGUCCCAAAGCACCCGAAGACCUUGACAGAGAGAAGGCCACCCUCCAUCAGCUUAAAAAGGAGAGUGAGCCCCUCCUCAAGCGGUGGAUAUGGGCAAAUGUCUUCCAUCCCCGAUGGAGAUACAUCACGUGAGGGGUGGGGAAGUCGACGCGGGCUUGCGUGCCACUGAUCCUGCAACCCCUCAUGUGCAGCCACAAUGACUCUGGCGGAUCCAGCUCCAUCUCCCGCGCGAAUGGAGUCGGGAGACGAAGGCGACGGUGAGGCGGCCGGCGCAGCCUGACGAAGAACUCGCAAGGGUCAUCCCCAAUGUGGCCCUCCAUGGGGGGAGGAACUGCUCUUCCCCGAGCGCCGCCCCAUCCUCCUCUUCCCCGAGCACCUCAGCCUCACCCACGGCGUCGCCCCUCCCCCUUCCCCUCGUGGCUGGCUCUGCCACCGCGGGUGCAGGAGACGGAGGGACGCGUUGUCGAGCGGCGACCCUCGCCGCCACCGUUGAAGGACCAGGAUUCCCUCUCUCCAUGGCGGAUAGAAGAGAGGAGCAGAAGCUGAAGGAAGGAGGAUAUGAAGGAAUGCGGGACGCCAUCCCCCCUCCCGCUCUUUAUAAAGGAACGGGGUGGGGGCUCGGCCGCCCCGCUCAGCCAAUCAAGACGCGGAAGGCGUAGGGAACUGGGACCGACCCGCCACCCCAGCCCGCGGCGGCCCGGUUUCCCGCCUCCACCAUUCGCCACCCCAAGCGCAUGAGAGCCAUGUGGCAGGCGUGCAGGACCGAGGCGACGGGUGAGGCGACCUCUCCCCACCCCGUGAUCGUAGGGAGUGGACGCCUUGAAGACCACACCUCGGCCCCGUUCAGUAAAUGGGUCGCGCACUACUAGGAAAUGGCCUACUAAUGGCGCACACGCCACUAGUAAAUUUUACUAAUGGCGCACCACUGGUGCGCCAUUAGUAUCUGGUAUACUAAUGGCGCACCAUCUAGUGCGCCAUUAGUAUAUAACACCAUGCGCCAUUAGUGUGCCUCCCAGGGGCCAUAUUUAACCAUGUGCUUUGGCACACUAAUGGCGCACUGCGGAUAGAUGCGCCAUUAGUAUACUUGGCAUACUAAUGGCACACUCUGUCUUAAUGCGCCAUUAGUAUCCUUUGGCAUACUGAUGGCGCACUCUGUAUUGAUGCGCCAUUAGUAUUCUUUGGCAUACUAAUGGUGCACCUUGUGGUGAUGCGCCAUUAGUAUGAAUAUUUGGUUUUUUUUACUUUUCUAAUUUUUGCGUAGGUUACAAAAUAUAUUAUUUGACAGAAUAUAGACAGUAGCACACAGCAGCAGCAGAUUCAUCAAAUACAAUAGAAGAUUAGUCUCCGAAUACAAUUCAUCAUAUUAGUCUCCGAAUUCAAAAGACCGAACAAAGAUAAAACAUUACAAGUCUCGAGACCGCGAGUAUCGAGUUUGUCUUCACAUUACAAGUCGAUAUCAAUCAUCUAAACUACCAUCACAUAGAAGAGAGCUGCGGUCAUCACGAUGAGCAUCAUCGCGAUCAAACUGGUCUCCAUCCGGUUCCUCCAACGCUCCCUCCUCUCUCCCUCUAGAUAGCGGGCGUAUCUAGAUUCGGCCUCCACCCUAGUGGUGUACCCUUUGUAACUGUUACCGCUGAAAUGGUGAACCUGUCUCCGACACUCCUCCCAGUCGUCGUAGACUCCGAGAACCUUACCCUUGUACACGACAUACGACGACAUCUCUAUGCACAAGCCAAACAACAGACAAUACAUACAUAAGCAAUAUAUAAGUAUGCAACAAAAGGAUCGGAAGAGAAAAGCAAGACAUUAAUAGCACGAUUCAUGGUCCUACUAAUAAAUAGCAUCGAUUACAUCUAAGUUGAACGACUGUCCAAACCAAAGAGACAUACAAUUCAUUAAAGUUUAAUUACAACAUGAGCCAAUCAAUGUUUCAGAACUACACAUCACUACUUUCGACUCGACUCAUGGACAGGAGCGUGGAUGAAGCCGCCGUCUGUCGUGAUGGUCAUGAAAUCGCGGGCGUUGUCAGCCUGCAUUUGUAGCAUUCCAUCUAUCUCAAUGUUGGACGGUUGAUAUCUGAGGAAGAACUGCCCCGAGGUAUGAAGGACAUCUUGAUGGAUGAUGUCCGCAAACUCCGACUGGAUGCGGAAGAAUUGUUGUCUGAUGUCCGCGUCCUGGAUUGCCGACAAGCUCGCGGCCCAAUCUUUGAGAUUAUUUGGUAGCAGAAGGUGAUGAUGGUCCCUUACAAUCGCCCGCAUGUGAUGGAGGGCAUAGUAGGCAUCCUUCUGACUGCCAGGCGGCUGCUUGACGCAGCAGAACAUCGUAUUGUGGGCGAACACGUGCUUGCCGUACUUACGAACUGCCCUGAUGAAGGUGCCUCCAGAUUUGGCGUAGCCAGGGAGAACAUCAUCAAGAACUUUCUUGAUAUUUGUAUAGUCUAUCUUGGAGUUACGAUUCGGAUCGAAAUACAUGGCCAUGGAAUAUUUCGGGCUUAAGAGGAUGAGUGUGCAAUGUGUGUCACUGCACAGAACACGGAACGUUAGAAAAAAAAGAACGAUCGAAAUCUAAGAAAUCAUAUGUUACGGGGCGGUUAAGGGAUGACUUACUCGGGAAAGUAAGGCACAAGGAAGUUAUCCUUAUCUGGUUUUGCCAAAUUGACGUCUUCGAGGUGUGAACUCGCGACUUGGCGGUCCCCAGCGCUGCUCAAGAGCUUGGCACGCAUGUAGAAGGGGUCGACGAUCACGAUGUCCGGGGUCUUGUCUCUAAUGAUCCGCAUCUCCAUACUCAGCGAAAACAGCCGAACGAAGGUGUAGUGCAGCGGAUGAAGGUUGAACAUAGCAAAGAUGUCAUCAAACCGCAGGACGAUCGUACCCCCGAUGGCGCCAUCCACAAAGCCCUUGCCCUCUGGCACCUUGGCCACAAAAAACGGGUAUGCCACAUCAUUCUCUCUGAGACGCUGCUUCUCCAAAGAAAGAACACUGUCGUGCAGACUCCGCAUAGCACCGGUUGCAGCACUGAGCAUAUUUGUCGGUAGCAUCACCCUACCCGCCACAUGCACCCUCCUCGAGAUAUCCUUAGGUGAAGGUGGCCCGUCCUGAGCACGGAUCAUACUCGGUGCCGGCUGGCUCGCACCGGCGGCCUUUUUAGUCGGCCGUUUCCGACCCUUCUUCUUGAUCUGCUGUAAUGGGACCGAGUUCUUCUCACAUACCGCCUUCUUGAGCGUGUUGGGGCUGAUAAUAUUUGGCACCUCCGCUAUCUGAGGCUCGGUGAAGGCGACAGCUGGAGGCAUCUCCUGAGAACUGAACGCCAGACGACGCCUGUUGCAAUUGGGUUUCUCUGUCGUACCAGCUAGAUCGCGGUCGUCUUGUUUGGGUUCUUGAGAAGGAGGCCCGCAGAAUUCGUCACCGUACCCAUGUUCGGCAAAGUACUUAUCGACGUUGGUAAAUGUACCAUCGUCGUUGUCGUCGUCGUCCGGAUCCUGUGCCAUAGGGAUGUCCGGCAUGUCCGGUAGCGUUGCAGCGUUCUUGCCAUGUCUUGGCGCCGGCACGACUGGCGGUCUUGUCUGUGGGGUGGUGUCCCCCGCCCCCAAAUGAAUCUGGCUCUUCGGCCAAAGCAGGGGCCAGCUUACGCAGGCGCUGAGGGUCAUCUCAUCUUCUUCGUCGGUCCCAGCGGGUCGAAUCGGAGGUAACAGCUCGUCGCACCUGGCAGCACUCGAACCACUUCAACCCUAUACAUUGUGGGUGGCAUCGGAUUACCGUGGAACACGGGGUUGCCCGGUUGAACGAUUCUGCCCUUGGCGACAUCGACCAACUCGCCGCCCACGAAGUGCAGGAGAGUACAAGGAACGUUGGCGGCGCCCUACGAAAACAUGUAGGGCGUCAGGGAUGCCCAGUCAAAGGCAAGGAGAUGAAGUCCUCGGCCGAGAGGCUUAGUUACCGUGAUGCCAUCGAGCUCGGCUAAUGUCGAGGCACCGCCAACGGCGGGCGUGCAACUGACGGAGGGGCCGCUUGCUGGCGAGGUGCCGGCCGGCAUACACUCGGGUGCAUUAAGCUCCAAUGCCGGCGUCGAAGACACCAAUACCGCUGCCGCCGGAGACACCAAUGGCGCCGCCGCCGUAGACACCAAUACCGCCGCCGCCGGAGACACCAAUGGCGCCGCCUGCGUGUUGUGUGAGUUGCUGGCCGUGAAGCUGGGAAUCGGGGGCGGCCCCUGUUGGCCACCCGCAAUCCACGUCGUUAUCCCAUGAAUCAAGGUAGGCAUAAUGCCGGUAAGCAUCGAUCCCAGUUGUUGUUGCACUUGCUCUUGGACCAUCUCCGGAAUCCGCACCACUUGCGCCUUGAGUGCUUCAACCUCGCGCGACUGGCUUUCCAAGCUGGUUUUUUUCUCCUUUCGCCCACCAGCGCCAUAGUAUGACGACCAUUUUGUGGACAAGCCUUUGCCGGCCACACGACCAGCUGACGUCGGCUUAUUGAGCUUAUCCCUGUUUUUCAUUACGUUCAAUGCCCUAUUCAAAGGGGUGUCGAAAGGGGAGCUCUGAGACGACCCCGCGCUACUGCUUUCUUUGUCCUGCGGAAGGAAUGUGAACCAUUUAGAAAUAUUGGGGAUUAAUUAGAAUGCAACCAUAUGGAGCUAAUUAUGCGGGGGUGUAUUCCUUACCAGAACAAGCUCAAGCUCCUUGGUCUUCGGAUCCGUGGUAAGCUCCUUUGUUACCGGGUCCUCCUUGUACCGGGCCCUGAGAAAGUUCCUGGUCUGCUUGUCACUGUAUUUAUCGAAGCGGGGCGGUAGGCCUUGCUCGGCACGCUCCGCGUCCUCCUUGUCCCAUACAGGCUCCGCCACUCUGUAACUGCCAAGACCGAGUUGGUGGACCCCUAUGUUCAACUGACGCAUUUCUUUCCCCCACUGACUUGAUUCGGAGGUUGCGGGGCUCCCGCACUUGAUCUUGAACUCCUUGUAGUCAUCUUCGCUCAUCAAAGGAUAUUUCGCCUUGAUCUUCUCAUAACUAUCACCUUUGUCAAUCAUUGCCUUCACCGUGCUUUUCCAUGUAGACAGGGCCGUGCUCAUCGUCGUGAGGGCGGCACCGUUCACUUUAUUACCCGAGAGGCGUGUGUUUGCGAACUAAGCGGGGAACUUGUAUCGCUCGUGCAGCUUCGUGAAGAGGAGGCUGCGCAAAUUCCCUCGGUCCUUAUGCCUUAGGUUCUCGGUGUUGAUCGAGGCGGUGCUUCGGAGAAUGCACCCGAGCUGAAUCGAGUACCCCUUGACUACGUGUUUGGGCACCGUCGGAUGCCCGUCGGAGUUCACUUCAGUAAAUUCCUCCUUGACGGUGCCGAGCACGUUCGGGCGCCGGUCCUUUCGUUGCCUCUUCAGUUGGCUGCCAUCUGUGCGUGCACCGCCAUCAUCAGUGGUGGCAUCCGCGGCGCCAUCAUCAGUGGUGUCAUCCCCGACGCCACUAGGGGUUGUGUAGUCAGGAUCGGUGUCUUCCGCGGCGUCCUCAUAGCGGUGAGGUUCUUCCUCCAACUCCUGGGACAGCUCCCAGAAUUGCUUGCCGCCCGAACCGCCGGCCUCAUUGUUGUGGGCCAUGUUUCGCUCUAAAUAGGAAAAAGUUUGGUCAAAAAGUUGGUUAUUGUCAAGGAACAAGAUCAUGGUCUCAUCAUUUAGGGUUUGUCGACACCGAGGCAUCCUAAAAGCUAAGCUUUUAUCAUUUAGGGUUUGUCGACGCCGAGGCACCCUAAAAGCCUAAGCAUACAUCAUUUAGGUUCUCAUCGACACCGAGGCACCCUAUAGAAGCCAAAGUUUCAUCAUUUAGGGUUUGUCGACGCUGAGGCACCCUAAAUGCUAAGUUAAGUUUUCAUCAUUUAGGGUUUAUCGAUGCCGAGGCACCCUAGGUUGGGCCUAAUCACUUGGCACUAAUCACUUGGCUCUAUUGCCACCUAUGCAGCAAGAAUGGCGGGGCAGUUGAUCCUACUUAACUAAGUACUAAGAUACCCUGGCCCAUGCAUUAGUCGCAAGUACCCCAUAUGUCCUAUUUUUAGCAAAGUCAUGCUAAAAUUCACGGAAAAUUUCAGCAUGACCUUUGCUGAAAAUAGGACAUAUGGAGUACCCGAAUUUGUCAGAACGGAAGUUAAUCGACAUUCCGGCAAACUCAAGGGCCUCUCAGGAUACCUGCAAUAUCAUUAUCCCUGCGUAAUGAAGUCGCCAAUGGGUUAUUUCAGAAGAUCACAAGUAGCAUCAUCACAAGUACAACAUCAUCUAUAACUUUAUAUUAACAAAGCAUCAGCACAUAUACAAAAGACCACUUAUGCCAACAGUAUGGUUUAUAUCAGAUUCAGAGUUAGAAACAGGAAAAACCGGUGCUUCAAAGCCUACUGGACACAAUUUACAUCUAUCAGUACGGGAUGUCCUAACUAAUUUCAAGUGUUCAUAGGUGAACUUGUACCAUGGAUGAGCCUAGUGUUUCAUUAGUCAACUGAACAGAGAUAAUAGGGCACAACACCAUACAUAAAGUGAUGAGCAUACAUACUACUGUCCAAGCAAAUUAACUGAAUAGUAUUGUGUCAAGUUCAGUUUGAAAAUUCAGUUACUGCUUGAGUGAUUUGACACCAAAAAUUACUCCCAAAAAUUACAAUGAUUGUAUAUUGACUGCAUAUAUUCACUGUACAGGACUGAAUUCAGUCAAGAAAACCUGUCAAUUUCUGUUCACUGCAUAUAUUCACUGUACAGGCUGUCAAGUUCUAUUUCAGCUCAAGAAUGGCACACUCAACUUCAUUGCUUCAACCACAUGGACAACUGAGCAAAUGUUGGAAGUUGACAAUAUACUUUAGAUUCACACAUGCUCCCCUAAUUAUUUUGUCUGUAUCUUUAAAUUAUCUACUUUAGGCACAAUCAUACACAAUUCUAACUAAUUCAUCACUAUAGGCCAGCAUGAAACACACUCCUCCAAAAAAGCCUAAAAUUCCACUAUUAUUGCCUGUAAAAAGGCCUAAUAUCCACUAGUAUUGCCUCUAAAAAGCCUUAAAAGUCCACUAUUGUUGACAAUCAAAAUAUGAUCUGAACUGUAAGGAGUUAACUGAAAAAUGAGUGGUUGUUGGCAUGAGGGAGUAAACUGAUUGUUGGCACAAAAAUAUUGGUUCUGCAAACAUGAAAACAGUCACAAAAAUAAUGCACUUGGUUUGUGUUGAGUUUUUGCUUUCAGGGAUUGGUUUGUGUUGAGUUGUUAACCUAAAGGUUCGGCAGUUUGAAUCUCCUUUAGCUAGUUUGAAUCCAUGGACUACCCUGUUAGAUUGGGACUGAAGAUAGGUACCUGCUUAUCUUUCUAUUCCGUCACCAACAAUGGCUUUUCCAAGAAUAAUAUCCCUGCAUGAACAUAGGUGAGAGGUUAACUAACUGCCUCAAAGGCAUAAUCAAUCCAUUAGCUCGAAGAAAUAAUGCGAUUGACACGUCAAAACUAUGAUAGAAAUGUAAAACUUGAGGGCAACUACGACAUGGCAAGAAAGAACUCAUAUGUAGUGAUGGCAGAACGUAUGAAUUUGCCGCGGCAAAAUUUGGUUCUCCCUAAAAACAAAAUGGAAAAAUUGUGGUGGAACGAAUCUAAAUUUGCCAUUCACUGCAUAUUGGAAAUUGCCCUAGAAUACCCCUACCAGUUCUGAACCAGAUUAAAAACUACAUAUCACAAAAAUACCAUGGUACAGAAUGGUGGUGAAAUUUGCCAUGACAUUUCUACUAGUGCACUAGGUCAUGGCAUGUCAUCUGUACUAGUCUACUGGGUCAUGGGAUGCAAUUUGGGGUGAGAAAACUAAACACAAAAUUCGGAUGUGCCUCUACUGGGUCAUGGCACAUCAAUUUACAGAUAAUCAAACUAACAAAUAUGAAAAAAAGACGGGGGGUUGAGGAUGUUGCCACCAGCAGUGGAAAAGGAGGAAGGAGGAGGCCCUCCCCAAUCUUGCAACCAUAGACUGCCACAGUCGAGGGGAAGGAGGGAAUGGGGAAUGGUGGAGAGAGGGAGGAAGGAGGAAGGAGGAGAGGUACCUGGUCGCCGGAGGGGUUGGGGUCGGGGUCCGAGCUCGUCCGGUUCCUCGCUUGCCGCGGUCGAAGGAGAGCAGGGGGCCAGUGGCGGAGGACGGCAGGGGCAGGUGGGGUGGAGGGAGCACCUUGGUUGGGGCGGAGCGGCGAGAGCGACGGGGCAACGGAGCGGCGAAGGCGACGGACGGGAGGAUGAGGCAUGGCGGACGGCGGCGGUCGAAACCCUAGGCGGUCGCUCGCUCGCUUCUAGGGUUGGGUUGGGGGUGGGUCGAUCGAUUGAUGGGGAUCUGGUGGCGAGGGAGAGAGGGUCGAAGGGGAUCUGGCGAGGGAGAGGGAGAUAGCUAGGGGAGGCUUACUAAUGGCGCACCAGACCACGGUGCGCCAUUAGAAGUCUUCUUUUUAGAUAGCAAUGGCGCACCCCGCAGCGGUGCGCCGGCGCACCCCGCAGCGAUGCGCCAUUAGAAAUCUUUUUUUAGAUAGCAAUGGCGCACCCGGCAGCGGUGCGCCAUUAGAAAUCUUUUUUAGAUAGCAAUGGCGCACCCCGCAGCGGUACGCCAUUAGAAUUUUUUAAUUACAGUUCGAGCACAAGUUAUAUUGCACCUAACCCAAUCCACAUCAGAACCUGCCCACUAGCCUGACUGGUCAGCACGCAGCACACACACCAAGAGGUCCUGGGUUCGAUUCCUAGGCUUCGCAAUAUUUUUUUGCAUUUUAAAUACGGUUUGAUAUUUAUUUGUGUUUAAAUAUGUUCAUACUUGUUUAAAUCAUAACAGUAAUAUUUUUUUAUAAAAACAGUAAUAAUUUUUUUAAAAAUAUAUUCAAAUUUGUUACUUGAAAAUAUUAUCGGCGGCGGCGGUGGAGCGGGGGAGGGUGCGGGGGGUGCCCGUUGGCGGCGGUGGAGCGGGGGAGGGUGCGGGGGGGCGGGUGCUCGUCGGCGGCGGUGGAGGGGGAUCGAGAUCGAGUGUCCUCAUGAAUUCAAAAAGUGCCCGUGAAAUUGAAAAAUAUUCAUGAUAUCAAAAAGUGCCCAUGAAAUACAAUCGAGAAAUGAAGACUACGAUUUAAAUACAAUCGAUCUUAGCUAGCUAUCUGUUCAAAUCUUCUUGCCCUUCUUUUUCGCAAAUGGAGUUCUUCUAUGGAACGGACGUCCUUUAGGUAGGGUGGUCCUGCUUCUUCUUGUGGUGUGUGCUGCUACUUUAUCGUCAUCGUCAUGUUCGAUCUUCGGGUCACCGUACUUGUCGAAGUCGUGCUCAUUGGCUACUCCAUCCAUUCCGAUGAUCUUCCUUUUGCCUCUCCUCACGACAACAUGACUGGGCUUUGACGGGUCGGUAAUGAAGAAGCAUUGGUCCAUUUGGGAAGCCAGUACCCAUGGCUCAUUUUUCGCGGUGACAUUUGCGCCCGCGGUCUUGGAUUUGGUUUCAGGUAUAACCAUGGUGGUGAAAUACUGGUCUUCUUUUAGGACGCUCUUGGCCCAUCUGACACAGAACAUCGAGACCUUCUCUCCAGCGUAGCUCAGCUCCCAGAUCUCCUCGAUCCUUCCGUAGUAUCUGUCCUUGUCGUUACCGGUGUAGGAUUCCAUCGUUACCCCGGAGUUCUGAUAACCAUCGCUCUUCAUGUCCUUGUCCUCGGUGUAGAAUGUGUGGCCGUUGAUAUCGUACACCUCAUAGGUCAUCAGGUUGUGCUUGGCGCCCUGUGACAAGGCGAAUAUGAGUUGUUCUUUCGCGGAAGAAUCCUCAUGUAAAGGGUAUGACAGAAGCUUCUGCUUGAACCAACGCGUGAAACAUGAGUUGUGCUCUUUGAUUAUAUCUCCGUCCGUCCUCUGUUGGCCUCGGUCAUUGUACCUCUUCUCAAUAAAGGUUUUGUGCUCUACCACCCAAGGAUCGACCACGUCUAUGUGUUGUAGCGCGACUAGGUUUGCUCUUUCAAAGUCGGCGAGUCGACCCUCGAAGUCGACAUGCAUUUCGCGGCGACCCUCACGGUGACCCCAUCCAGCGAGCCUGCCGAGGUGCCUGUUGACGGGCAGACCAACGGGGUUCUCGAUGCCUAGAUAAUUCGUGCAAUAGGAGAUGCACUCUUCGGUCAGAAAGCCCCUGGCUAUACUUCCCUCUGACGUGACAUGUUGCGAAUGUAUCCUUUGAUGACACCAUUCAUCCUUUCGAACGACAUCAUGCUGUGCAGGAACAUCGGCCCGAGUUGGAUGAUAUCCUUCACGAUAUGGACCAGCAGAUGCACCAUAACGUCGAAGAAUGCGGGCGGGAAGUACAUCUCAAGCUCGCAUAGUAUCACCACGAUCUCUUCCUGUAGCCUUCUGAGUUGCCUCACGCCAAUCGACUUUCGAGAGAUGACGUCGAAAAAGUUGCAUAGGCCAAAUAGCGUUUCACGGACGUGCGCGUCCAUGAUCCCACGGAUUGCAACUGGAAGUAUCUGCGUCAUCAGCAUGUGACAGUCGUGAGACUUCAUCCCGCUGAACUUCUACUUCGCUGGGUCUAGGUAUCUGCUUAUCUUCCCCGCGUAACCGUAAGGAAGUUUUACUCCUACGAGGCAGGUGAAAAAUUGCUCGAUCUCCUCCUGACUUAGAGUGAAGCACGCGGGAGGGUAGUCACUUCCGGUCUUCUUGGCCUUUUUGCCUUUGCGACGAGUUUCUGUGUCCUGCUUUGCCUCAUCAUCAUCAUCAUCAUCAUCAUCAUCAUCAUCAUCAUCAUCAUCAUUAGCGUGAAGCUCCUGCCUGAUGCCCAUUGAUUUUAAGUCUGCCCUUGCUUUCGGCCCAUCUUUGGUCCUCUCUGGCAUGUUGAGCAGGGUACCAAGUAGACUCUCGCACACGUUCUUCGUGAUAUGCAUGGCAUCAAGGCUGUGAGGCACACGGUGGAUCUUACAGUAUGGCAAGUCCCAAAAAACAGAACUCAUUUUCCAUACCUUCAGCAGCAGCUCUGGCACCUUUCGCUUCUUUCCCGGCUCUGGCGCCUUUUGCUUCUUUCCCGGCAGUGGGCAAUCUUUCCAAUUUUUCAACAGCUCGUCUAUUUCCUCGCCGCUCCUCAUACGCGGGCGUUUUCGGGGUUCGGUUUCACCAUCGAACAGAUCCUUGCGUUUCCUCCACGGGUCAUCGUCGCGAAGCCACCUUUGAUGUCCCAUGAACACGGUUUUCGAAGAUCCGGGAUCUCUAUCUAGCUGGCGAUACGUUGUGUCAUCCAUGCACCUUACGCAUCCAGAAAAUCCGUGGACUACCUGCCCCGCGAGAUAUCCGUAACUGAGAUAGUCGUGCACCGUCGUGAGCAGUGCGGCUCUCAUAGGGAAAUAUUCUUUCUCUGCGGCAUCCCACGUAUUGGUUGGCGUUUUCCACAGCGUGUCUAGCUCCUCUUUCAGCAGCCCCGGAUACAGAUUGAUGUCGUUCCCUGGUUGUUUCGGCCCUUCAAUUAGCAUACUCAUGUGAAUGUACUUACUCUUCAUGCACAACCAGGGGGAAAGAUUGUACAUCCACACAAACACAGGUCACGUGCUAUGUGUGCUUCUCUGGCUGCCAAACGGAUUGACUACAUCGGUGCUCGCGCCCAGCACGAUGUUCCUUGGAUCCUUCUCAAAUUCUGGGUAUUCGAAGUUCAACGCUUGCCACUGGCUCGCAUCCUUAGGGUGACUCAGCAUCUUGUCUUUUUUAUUUAUCUUCGGAUCAUUUCCGUCAUCUUCCCGCUUCUUCUCCUCCCUAUCCGCGUGCCAACGCAGGAGCUUUGCUACCUUAGGGUCCGCGAAAUACCGCUGCAGACGAGGAGUGAUCGGAAAGUACCACACCGAUUUUCGAGGAGCUUUCUUCCUUUUCUUGUAUCGAGUGAUGCCGCACACCGGACAUAUGGUAGACUCCGCAUGCUCGUCCCGAUAAAUAAUGCAAUUGUUCAUGCACACAUGGUAUUUCACGUGUGGUAAAUCCAGAGGACACACAAUUUUCUUCGCCUCCUCGAAACUGGUCGGGCACUUGUUCCCCUUGGGAAGACGUUCGUGCCAGAAUGACAUGUUCUCGCCGAAGCAUGCGUCGGUCAUUUUGUAUUUUAUCAUCAUCUCCAGAGCCAUGACCGUUAUUUUCAGGCGGGUAUCCUCGGGCCUGCAUCCUUCAUACAAUGGAGUAACCGCGUCUAUCUCCAGUUGAUCCAGCUUGUCUUUCUCUCGGGCGCCAGCUCUUGCGUUAUCCGUCUGCUUGAGAAGCAGCUCUUGAAUAUGAGGGUCCUGCACCCAGCCUCCAUCGUCGUCUGCUCCGACAUCUUCAUCUUCAUGAUCAUGCCCUUCGUCUUGAUCUUCCUCAUCAUCAUGUAUGACAUCUUCUACAUGAUGACUGUGUACAGCAUCACCUCGUGAUCAUGUUCUGGAGAUUCUUCGUCUUCUCGCCCGCCCUCGCCGCGGUGGUACUUGUCUUGUUGCCCUUCCUCAUUUCUUGCCCGGCCCCCAUGGACGACUUCAUAGUCAUCUUCAUCACCUUGCCACCGAUAGCCAUCCAUGAAACCACGCAAGAGCAGGUGGUCCCGCACCUGCCCGGAAUCCGGGUCCGCAAUAAGGCUCUUCUGCUUGCAUCUUCGACACGGACAUCUUAUCUCCGUCACGUUCUUUUGAAGUAUCUCGGCCUUCGCGGAGCUCAAAAACCUAUUCAUGAUGCCUUCGGUCAUCGUGCGGACCAUGGUCGCCUGCGGGGUAGAGCAAAACGAUAUUUUAGAACCAAGAAAUUUUUUGGCAUGACCUUCCCUAAAAAUAGGACCAAAAAGAAUGCAUAGUGCCAAAAUUCUCGCCGAAACAGAAAUGAAUCAACAUUCCGGCAAAAUAUUGGCAACUAUCGCAUUUCAAAUACCGGUACCUGCAAACACAAACAUAUAUGCAACACCACAAACACAUGCAACACCACAAACAUACAUAGAUCUAGCUAGGCCACAAAAAGUGCAUGUGCAUGUUGUUGGAGCGAGCUAGGGAGAAAAAAAAGUAGAUCUACAUCAUGAAGAUAGCUUUCCCCUUAUUUACCUAUAAAAAAAGGUAAUUUCACCACUUAAUUUUGAUGAAUCUAUGGUGAAAAUGAGGUGAGGAGGAGGAGGCAGCCGAAAGCUUGGAGAAGGAGGUGGAGGGAAUGAAGUGGGGAAAGUGAGUGGGUAGGUGUGGGGCUGUCCAAAAUAUCUUCUUGGGUCCCAGGUUACUAAUGGCGUACCACCUGCAAAUGCGCCAUUAGUAACCCUGGUUACUAAUGGUGCACCUGCAGGUGGUGCGCCAUUAGUAGUUUUGCAGAAAAGUAAUAUANNNNNNNNNNNNNNNNNNNNNNNNNNNNNNNNNNNNNNNNNNNNNNNNNNNNNNNNNNNNNNNNNNNNNNNNNNNNNNNNNNNNNNNNNNNNNNNNNNNNNNNNNNNNNNNNNNNNNNNNNNNNNNNNNNNNNNNNNNNNNNNNNNNNNNNNNNNNNNNNNNNNNNNNNNNNNNNNNNNNNNNNNNNNNNNNNNNNNNNNNNNNNNNNNNNNNNNNNNNNNNNNNNNNNNNNNNNNNNNNNNNNNNNNNNNNNNNNNNNNNNNNNNNNNNNNNNNNNNNNNNNNNNNNNNNNNNNNNNNNNNNNNNNNNNNNNNNNNNNNNNNNNNNNNNNNNNNNNNNNNNNNNNNNNNNNNNNNNNNNNNNNNNNNNNNNNNNNNNNNNNNNNNNNNNNNNNNNNNNNNNNNNNNNNNNNNNNNNNNNNNNNNNNNNNNNNNNNNNNNNNNNNNNNNNNNNNNNNNNNNNNNNNNNNNNNNNNNNNNNNNNNNNNNNNNNNNNNNNNNNNNNNNNNNNNNNNNNNNNNNNNNNNNNNNNNNNNNNNNNNNNNAUAUACUAAUGACGCAUUUUUACAGGGUGCGCCAUUAGUAAUUUAAACUAGUAAUGGCGCACUGUGAGGCGGUGCGCCAUUAGUAGUUUUGCAACAAAAAAAAUCAGUACUGGCGCACUCCAUGUCUGGUGCGCCAUUACUAGUUAGAACUAGUAAUAGCGCACUUCGGUAGGAUGCGCCAUUAGUAUGUAUGUAAAAAUGAAAAAAAAAAUUAUCACUAGUGCAGCACCAGUUUUCUGGUGCGCCAUUAGUGUCUUCCACAUUAAUGGCGCAUCACCAACUGGUGCGCCAUUAGUAUAUAGUAGUGGCGCACUACUUCCCUGGUGCGCCAUUAGUGUCAAUCCUAUCUAUAGCCCUUUUCCUAGUAGUGGCGCCUCCACGCCUCCCUCCGUUUAUGGGGAGGGUGCGAACCGCCCCCUUUACUACGACGUGACGCAUGCAUGCAGAGUUCAGCCCCACGCAUGCCGCCCACGUCACACAUGCCUCCUCACGCCGCGCCACGCGCGGGAAGCGUGGGAAGCACAGCGCAUGAAGAAACUUACCACGGUAAAAACCAUCCCGCCUGCCCGCGCAUCGUUUUUGGGCCUAGCCCAAUGACGCGAUUGCGCUUACGUGUGGCCCAUGCCCGGGGGCUCCUGUCGGUGUACAAAAAGAGGGGGUACACUUUUUGUACUCCUAUAACUGUGCACGGGCAGUCUGAGCCACGGGCGGCACCACACUGAGCAAGGCAAGGGAGGUGAGCCAAGGUAAGGCCGAAGCUCAGGAGAAGCAGAACGAUGCCAAGACCAAGACCACAAAGAGCAAAGGGGACGAAGCGGACCCCCCCGGCAAGAUCCUUGCCGGGAGGUGGUUUUAGCAAACCCGGCAAGACCCUUGCCGUGGCAGCUCGCCCCACACCUACAGAGUAGGUCACCCUUGAGUUCACUGCCCCCAUGGGGCAAGGAUUCGGGAGACAUCCCCGUGGUGGCAUGCAGAUCUUUGUGAAGACAUUCAAGAUCAGAUACACCCUUUAGAAGAUGAUGAUCCUUGGCGGGAUCCCAGUCAAGGAGGACCACAAGGCCCCCGGCAAGAGCCUUGCCGGGGAUGACAGCAGGCGCCACGGCAAGACCCUUGCCGGGGCCCCGGCAAGGCCCUUGCCAAGAACACCCGUAGGGCCACCAUCAGGCCCACGCCAGUCAAAUCUCCACCGCCGUUCGCAUGUAGCUGCCGACCCAACCAGCUUGGCAGGCACCUGCGUGGCGGCAUGCGGAUCUUCGUGGAGACCCACCACUGCGCCACCUCAGCUGCCUGCCUGCCUACAUGGCACCGCGGGAGCCGCUGGCCAGGGCGCAUGUCGACACGAGAGGGAGCGGCAACGAACGAGACAGGGCUUUCCCCCGUCCCCGAUAAAGCAGGGACACCUGGGCAAGACGCAUUAAAUGUGCCUUGUCAUGUAAUGCAAGGGAUAACCUCACAUCAUUGUACCCUUUCCACCUCCUGUGUGCCACUGUGGCAACCCCUUUCCUAUAAAAGGAGGCCCGGGGCGACCAGGAGGAGGAUUCUGCUUUUUGGAGCUCCUCACGCCCCAUAGCUAGCUCAAGAACACAGAUAUACAAUCCACCAAAGCAGGAGUAGGGUUUUACUCAUCCUCACGGCCCGAACCUGAAUAAACAAACCGUGUGUUAUCUGUUUGAUGAUCCGCUCUUCUCACGACCCCGCGCCCCGCAACCGUAGUAGGAAUUCUUGUGAUCCCAUAGGCAUUGUUCCCACCGACAGAGACCGAAUGAUUUGUGUCCAGACCAGACCAGACCAAUCCAACCCGAUAGUUGAUAAAACCCAAAAUAGACGGGAUUGCCUUGCUUUAGAUUCUCAGACUACUUAAACCAACCCAACACAGUCCAAUAGCAACCAACCUGAAACUAAGGUUUCAGCCCAAACUAUUCCCAGGUCUAGCUGUGCACCUGAUCAAAAUUAAGGUGACCAAUUCUACUUUUUACAUUACAAAGAAGACAAUCUAUACUAAGAUGGCGCCGCAUAGGUCUGCAGGUGUUUACUGUGGAUCGAUCUCUGACGCUUACACAAGCAGUCACAGAUCUUGCAGUAGAAUUCACCCUCUGCUUCCUCCUCUUACCGGCUCUCAUCAGCGGCAGCAGGGGAGGAGAGGCGGUUGUAGCGACGUAUCCCGGCCGGAUCCGUGCGUGGAGGAGACCGGGAAGGUGAUCGGAUGGGAUCUAGAGUCCGUGGAGGAGACCUGCUCGGACACACGGCCUUGCCGGACACGGACUCCCCAUGAACCGCCCUCCUUUUGCCACAUAAAUAGGCCUCGAGCCCUCUACGGAAGCGUCCAAUCUCCCGGUCAUUCAAUCUCGCCGUUCUACCAACUCCGCCGCCCGUGCUCCACCUCCACACGCUGUCGUACAAUCUUGCCAUCAUCGCCGGACCGCCCGUGCUCCACCUGAGGUAACGCCUGGUCUCAUGCCAAGCUAAAUUCGGUCCUGUCUAUUCGGAGAAGUCAUGAUCUUUCUCUGUGUGUCUGCAGUCUGCAGUCUUCACUCUGCAACCAUAGCUACCAUCGUCAUUACCUGUCUGCACUCUGUAAGCCUGAUAGAUUAGCGACAAAGUAGGCUAUCUAUGAAUACACACACACUAGAGUACUUCAUAGUGGCGCCUGGCCUGGUAGUUCAAAUAUCUGGAGAAAAUACCUAUCCAGUGUUGUACGUGAAAGAGUUGACCGGAGCUGUUGCAAGAUGAUCUGCUUUGUACUCUGAAAGUUUGUUUGCUUGAGUUCACUUUCCCAAAGCUAGCUACGACACUGGAUGCCAGAAGACCAAUCUGGCAUAAUGAGAGAGAAUAAUUAGAAAAUAAUAUAUGCCAUGUUCUCUAUUACCUGAUCAGGUUUCGGCUCAAACUGUGGUGCUCCUAUUCCAUGCAAUUUUAUUUUCUUGAUGAUGCUCUGCUCUGGCAUUCAUUCUCUGUUAUACCUGAUGUGUGUCUUAAGGCUAGUUAUAACUAUUGUCACCAAUGGUAAAUCUACUGAACAAACUCAUGAGUUAUCCCCAUCGUUUGUCUUAAGGCUAAUCUAUGCAUGGUUAGUUUUCCUUGCUGUACAAAGGUCAUCGCUCUUUUGUAUAUCCUUCUUCUCUUUCCUUUACAGUAAAACAUAGACCAUGCUCAUGCUCGCAUUGUUGCAACUUGCAAUUAGUUCCAGAUUUUUUCGUAGGUGUCAUUCAAGGUCAGAGUAAAUAUUUAGCAGUGUGCCAACUUCAAGCCCCCUCUGUCGAAAUCCAAAAAUCCAGUAGCUUAUGUAGCCUAUAAUUAGCUUCUACAGAUUCGUAGCUGAUUUCUGUCAAAAUGAAUAGAUGGACACCCACUAUUUACAAUAUUAUUAAUUUUUCUCCCUGUUUGAUUGAACUCCAUGCUGAUUACACCUUCACACAAUAUAAAAUAUUGUUUGAGCAAUCUGACUGUGGGAUGUUUAACUUUUAUUUUGGUUGUUAUUGCAGAAAGUGAAUGACAACACUGACUUGACCAUUGUUGUGGAUUUUGAUAACCGACCUUCAAAAAAAGCCAAAUUUUUUGAAUCAGAUUUUUUGGAGCCAUCACCUAUGUCACUAACCAUCUCAACAUUACCUUUGGUUUUUGAAUGUUUUGAAUCAAUUGUUCUGGAAUCAGAUAGACAUUGAUCCAUUGACAUGACCUCCGUCACCAACUAGCUCGACAAUACCUCCAGUUUCUGCAUGUAUGAAUGAAGGAAAAGUUUAAUCGAUGAUGAUAAGCAACCAGAGGAAUAUGAAGAAAUAAAAGUUGAUGAAACAUACGACUACCUCCCACUAGGUAAUUGUUUGAUUUAUGAUGUGUACUUUUGUAUCUAGCAUCUUAAAUGCCAUUUUACUAUUUAUUAUUAUUAUUGUUUGUGUAUGUGCACGGUUAAUCCAUAUUUACACAUGGAUUUAUUCAAAUUAUUUUACUUUUUGCAGAUUAUGCAUUGACCAACCAUGAUGUAUGUGUUCAUAUAGCAAUAGAAACAUCUUUUGAAAAAACAAUUACAGGUGAAGAUAGAUGAAACAUCUGCCAAACAACAUCAGCUGUUGUGCCUGCUAGAUGAAAAAGGGAGGCUAAACAAUAAUGUAAGUACGGGAUGUCAAUCUUGGAAUACAUGAAGACAGUACCUUUAUGAAAAUAGAUUGUCAAAAACUAUGUGAAGCAUGACAUGGUAACAUCCAUAUUCUUAAUUUUCAUGUUCUGAGUUUAAUACAUAUUUAUUGGUAAUUUUACCAGUUAUCUUGAUUAUAGAAUGAACUUCCAAUAAAUAUGAACAACACACAUUGCUAUUUAACUGUUGGGAACGUGACAAAUUGUGAGAUUACAGUACUUGACUCAUUGUGUUGGGAGUUUGACCAAGAUGAUCUCAGUACGGUUGGUUACUACAUAAAGUAUAAUAAAUGUAGUAACUAACCAUAGUAAUGAGAUCAUCUCAGUCAAACUCGCAACCCAAUGAGUCGAGUACUUGAAUCUCACACCAUUUUUGCAUUCACAACAGCUAAAUACCAAUGUGUGUUGUUCAUAUUUAUUGGAAGUUUAAUCUAUAAUCAAGAUAAUCAGUAAAAUUAUGAAUAAAAAUAUAUAUGAAACACAAAACAUGAUAAUUACGUAUAUGGAUGUUUCCAUGUCAUGCUUCACAUAAUUUUUGACAAUCUCUGUCAUAAAGGUACCAUGUCGCCAUCCUGUUUUGACGGUCCGGUAACAAAAUGAUUCUCAAAAUAUACUUUACUAUCAUUCUAGGGCAUGUACUUGGUCUUAUAUACAAAGUUUGACUAAAUUUAUAUAUUAUUAAAAAAAUAUCAACAUCAUCUAUAAUACUUGAGGUAUAUAUAGUACUCCUACACUAGUAGAAAAAGGGUCAAACGUGAAGCACAUUAGUGCCAGUUUGUAUUUGAGCCGGUACUAAUGGUAUCAUUAGUGCCGGUUCGAACGGAUUUGCAUUAAUACCGGUUCGUGUUGAACCUUUAGUACCGGUUCGUGGCACGAACCGGUACUAAAGGGGUGGUGGCAGGCUGGCGUCAGGCCGGGGCCCCAUGAUCACCUUUAGUACCGGUUCUUGGCACGAACCGGUAUUAAAGGUCUAACCUUUAGUACCGGUUCGUGCCACGAACCGGUACUAAAGGGGUCUAACCUAUAGUACCGGUUCGUGGCACGAACCGGUACUAAAGGUCCCAUUUUCAAACUCUCCCCCCCCCUGGAUCGCCUUUUCAGUUUUAAAAAAAAUAAAAGAAAAUAAUGGAAAUGUCAAAAAAAUAAAAGAAAAUAAGUUUCUCAUGUGAUAUGUGGUCUAGUUGUUGGUAAAAUUUGCAAAUGUGAAUUUUGACUUUAUUUUCAAAAUCUCUCUGAAAUUUGUAAAAAUGGGCAUUUUCAAAAUCCUCAAAAACCUAAUAGAAAAAAAGUUACCGGGCUUUUAAGAUCUAGAGUGGAAAAAAUAGAAAAAUAUUCAAACAGUGGGCAAACUGUGGUCAAACAAUGGUCAAACUAAUUAUUCAGAAUAUUAGUGUUACUAAAUAAUUAUUUUAGUUAUUUCAAUUUUGGUCAAAUCUGGUCAAACUAUGGUCAAACUGUGGUCAAACAAUGGUCAAACUAAUUAUUCAAGAAAUAUUAGUGUUACUAAAUAAUUAUUGUUUUUUAAAACAAUAGUUUCAAACUCAAAUAGUGAAAUGUGUCACUUCAUGCUCAAGCAAAAUUCCUGAAGGUUAAUAGGAUUGACAUCUUACUAUUGUCAGGAAAACAACAAGUGCAGACUCGGAAACGAAGGAGAAUAGAACCUGAAAGUUAAGCGUGCUCGGGCUGGAGUAGUGACAGGGAUGGGUGACCGGUCGGGAAGUUAGAUGAUUUGGAAUGAGUGAUCCACACUUGAGCAGUUAAGAGAGGUGAUUAGAGACUAAAUCAUCAAAUAAUUCAGAAAAAAUAAAAAUAAAAAAACAAAAUUUUUUUCCAAAAUUUUCAAAAAAAAAUUCAAAAAAAACCUUUAGUACCAGGGCGCGAGCUCACGCCACGUGGUGGCACUUUAGCGCCGGUUCGUGCCGAACCGGUACUAAAGGGGGGGGGGCUUUAGUGCCGAAACCUUAGUGCCGGUUCCAUAACCGGCACUAAAGGCCCUUACAAAUCGGUACUAAUGGUCCGUUUUCUACUAGUGCUAGUACAAAGUUGAGUCACUUAUUUUGGGACGAAGGGAGUAUGAAAAUGAAUUUCAUGAUGCAUCUAAUGAAAUUAUUUUUCAUCUAUAAACAUAUGCAUUUUGUGUUGUGAACGUUGAUAUCUUUUCAUAUAAACUUGGUCAAAUUUUACGAAGUUUGACUUCAAACAAAUUUUAUAUGCAAACUAAAAAAACGGAAGGACUAUCAAUAAUGACAAUAAAUGAUGAUUUAAAAAGAAAGAAUAGAAUCAAGCGGUAGCGGAGAACCUGUCUGGUCUCAUAUCACCCAGAGUGUCAUCUUCGUGAACACCCGCCGCAUGGUGGACGGAGGAGUUCUUCACAUCCUUCAACGCGGUCGCCAUGGACAAGAAGUCGAGAUCCUUCCGCGUGGCCGGUAUGGACAAGAUGAUGAGACAAGGACUAGCGAGAUGCUAAUUCCUGCAUGUAGAUGGCCCGAUCUUUCACGGCGAUGCUUGAUCAACAGUUCGUCCCCCUGUUCCUCCUUGCAACCUUCAAGAUAAUUUUCACCCGCGUAUGAAAAUAUACGAAUAAAAAUAAUGACCCCUUUGGAUCAGCACAUAGGCGUUGAUGUGAUGAUCAACCCUCCGUCGCUAGUAAAUUUCCACGAUGAGAAAAUCACAGAUAAUACAUAAGACAUGAUCGUUCGUAAUUCGAACGUUUUUCUGUAUAUCUCAUACUCGGAAUAAAACUCCAAAACUCCUCCAUACACGGCCGUAGCCUGGCAUUUAAAUAGCCGUCUCACGUCGGUGCCAACUAGAAAAAAGAACUAACACAAAUAUCUUCCUAAACAAGUCGUGCAAGACUUGAACUACUUUGAAGGAAACAAAAUCUUAACAAACCACGCAAACGGUGAUUACUACUCUAUCUAAGAAACCUUCCUAAUAAAAUAUUCUAGUUGACAAUUUUGUACGUAUGCAUGCACUUUUGAGAUUGCAUGCAAACGCCUUGUUCCACGGCAAUCAAAAUUGCACCGAUCCUGAUCCAUCUUGGUGGAGUUCUAAACGUGGGUUGCACCUCUUCUGGUUCUGGUUCCUUGCUCGUCAUCGGUUGAAUAAUGUUGUUGUGAACCCCUAGCGCUUGUACAUAUUUAUUUUCAUCUCGUAUUUUUAGACCACAUAAUACUCGCAACUUUCCGUCCGUUCCAUGAUGAAUAUUAUGUUGCAUCACACUGGAUCUGCUCUGACAAGGUAUAUUAUAGUUCUUUUUAUCAUAGUUUGAGCGAGUAAUCAAAUUACCACUCAUCUCUUUCAUUGAAUUUCCGUGUGUCACCAUGGUCAUAUCAUCCUCUCGCCCUUGAAGCGAAACCGUCCCUGGUUUCGUGUCAAUUUUGUGCACCCCCUUCUCCGUAAUUUGUAGCUCUAUCUUGAUUUCCUUCUCUGCCAUUGGUUUUAGCAUGUGUCGCCUUCCAUCAUGCAUAAAUGUGUAAGUGUUGGAUUUCCCUGCGUGUACAGCAUCAUAAUCAUACUGCCAUGGUCUUCCUAAUAGUAAAUGACACGCGUCCAUCGGCACAACAUCACAGUCCACCUUGUCAAUAUAAUCUCCAACCCGCAAAUGUUACGCGUACCUUAUGUGUGAUUUUUAAUUUACCGGAAUUGUACAACCACUCCACGUGGUGCGGUCGUGGAUGCCGCCACAUGGACAGACCCAAAGCUUCCACUAGAUCUUUGCUAAUGGCGUUGGUAAAGCUGCCACCAUCAAUUAUCAUCUUACAAGUAUGAUUUUUGAUCUUACACUGUGUUUUAAAAACACUCCAUCGCUGCCCCUUUGCAUCAUCAUCCCCCUGAACCUUUUCCACCAAAAGAUUUACACCCUUCAUCGGUGCAUCAACUUCUUCCUCUAUUUCUUUUUGCUCUUCUCUCCUUUUCUGCAAACGGCCCAUCCAAUCUGCCAUGAACACAUCCACUGGCAUAGGAAUAAACAGAUUUUUUGGCCCUUCCAUGAUACAGAGUAAGUAUUUUUCUUGGAAUUCCGAACAGCCCCAACACGUUUGCACCAUGGGUUCCCAAGCAGCAGAUGGCACGACACCAUGGACACAGGACAAACAUGAAAAAAAUUCCGCACACCAAUAUUUCCCCAGAUCAAAAAUUAGCAAAGUCUGAUGCGUAAUUUUGAUUUCACCUUUGAACCACUUCAGCGUGUACGGUCUUUCAAGAGGCGUCAUCUUCAGCCCCAAUUUUUCCACCACCUCGAUGCUCACCAUAUUAACUGCGGUACUUUUAUCGAUUGUCAGAUUGACACGUCGUUCGUUCACGACGCAACGAGUGUGAAAAAGAAUGACCUCGCCAAUGCCUUCCUCCUCCAUCAAUAUGUUCCUGCUCAACAUGUUGAUGCUUGACUCCGCAGACGAUAUUACAAUCUGAGUCGCCGUGACUAAACUUUGCUCUGAAUACCACUUGAUGAGACAAGGACUAGCGAGAUGCUAAUUCCUGCAUGUAGAUGGCCCGAUCUUUCACGGCGAUGCUUGAUCAACAGUUCGUCCCCCUGUUCCUCUUCGCAACCUUCAAGAUAAUUUUUACCCGCGUAUGAAAAUACACGAAUAAAAAUAAUGACCCCCUUGAAUCAGCACAUACGCGUCGAUGUGAUGAUCAACCCUCCAUUGCUAGUAAAUUUCCACGAUGGAAAAAUCACAUAUAAUACAUAAGAUAUGGUCGUCCGUAAUUCGAACGUUUUUCUGUAUAUCUCAUACUCGGAAUAAAACUCCAAAACUCCUCCAUACACGGCCGUAGCCUAGCAUUUAAAUAGCCGUCUCACGUCUCACGUUCGUGCCAACUAGAAAAAAAAAGAACUAACACAAAUAUCUUCCUAAACAAGUCGUGCAAGACUUGAACUACUUUGAAAGAAACAAAAUCUUAACAAACCAGGCAAACCGUGAUUACUACUCUAUCUAAGAAACCUUCCUAAUAAAAUAUUCUAGUUGACAAUUUUGUACGUAUGCAUGCAUUUUUGAGAUUGCAUGCAAACGCCUUGUUCCACGGCAAUCAAAAUUGCACCGAUCCCGAUCCAUCUUGGUGGAGUUCUAAACGUGGGUUGCACCUCUUCUGGUUCUGGUUCCUUGCUCGUCAUCGGUUGAAUAAUGUUGUUGUGAACCCCUAGCGCUUGUACAUAUUUAUUUUCAUCUCGUAUUUUUAGACCACAUAAUACUCGCAACUUUCCGUCCGUUCCAUGGUAAAUAUUAUGUUGCAUCACACUGGGUCUGCUCUGACAAGGUAUAUUAUAGUUCUUUGUACCAUAGUUUGAGCGAGUAAUCAAAUUACCACUCAUCUUUUUCAUUGAAUUUCCGUGUGUCACCAUGGUCAUAUCACAAGAGGUCAUUGUCUCGGCUGCCGCGCGGCCGCCACCGCCGAAGUCCUUCAUCGCGGCCGCCGUGGACACAGGGAACCAGGAGGCAGGAGUUUACGUAUCUGAUCUUUUUUUCUUUGCAGCUGUUAUACAUACUCCCUCUAUUCUCUUAUACAAGGCCAUUAUGAAAAAUACAUUUUGCAUCUAUAGAAGGCCACUAUGAAAAAUACAUUUUGCAUCUAUAGAAGGCCACUAACAGUAACUGAGACAAAGUUUAAUGAUGUUUUCUCGUACUAGCAACUUAUUUAAUACUUGCAUGCAUGUAUUCAUAAUGACACUGUGCUACUUCCUUCCUUGCGUGCAUGCAGACGUAUUAAUGAUCCCAGUUAACAAGAAGAAAAGUUGGCUUGCAAAGUAGUCAUUAAAUUUUACCUAGGUACCUGUAAUUUGAGUUUGUGGCCUUGUAUAAGGGAAUGGAGGAAAUAUCUUUUUUUUUUUGCGAAUAAGCUGUUAUACGUAUCUGAUCGUGGAGCGAUUGAAACGUAAAGUGAAGGAGCGGGAUUGAGCAGCUGGGAUCGGAAACAGAGCGGCCCCGUGGGGUUGCGUGCUUUAAGAUUGGAGUUGGGAUGGACCCGGUCUCAGAAUUUAUUUUCCCAUCUUCUCCGCCUCCGCCGCCUCCUCUGCCUCCGCCGAUGGCAGCCGCCAACACCAAGCAAAAGCAACAAGGACGUCAUGGCCUUCAACUAUCCCAGAACGCUCGUGGCGCCGAUCUCGCACUCUGCUCUCAUGGCUACGCUCGACUACGACCUCAGCGCUAUCGGCAAGAUUUUGAUGGCUAAUGAUGGUCGUUCGGCCGCGGAGCGAAUAAUGGACUACGCAAGGAAGGUGCGCUCAACUGCUUCUCGUGCCUCUUUAGCUUCUUUCCCUUUCCGAUUUUCGAGCUUUCGUUCAACAGAUGUGCGUAUUUUGGAUCGCCUGAACACAGUUGAUAGAUCCCCAUGAUCGGAGAUAUGUACGAGCUCUUUUACUGUACCCUAGGUUAAAUAUGGGCCGUUAAAUCGUAAGAGCGAACGGUUGGGAGGAGUAUUUAACCAAAAACUACCACAAUUCAUGGAAACGUACCCAGAAACUACCACUUUACAAAUUUGUGCCAAAAACUAUCACUUUUUGCCUAAUCUUUGACUAAAAACUACCAUGUCGCGAAAGUGCCCGAUUCGCCUCUCUAAACGCCUUUCUGACAGGUGGGACCCACACGUCAUCACCAACCUUCUUCUUCCUCCCCUCCUUUCUUUUUUUGGCAUUUUAACAAACACCUCUUGCGCAUGGGACGGAAGCAGGGGAGCACCUAGACACCACUCCCCCUGAGCUCGCUCGCAUGCCGCAGCCGGGUAACACCACCACCGGGCACCACGGCCGCCUUCUUCACUCCCCGGCGUUGGUUGCGGACUGGAGAUGGCAACAGCGUCGGCGCGGCGGGCGGCAUCGUGGCGGUGGAGGUGAGGCAGGGGCAGGCACGCGGGCCACGCGGGCCACGCGCCGCUGCUGCGCUCGCCGGCACUAGACCGAGGGCGGCAUGCUCCGCGACGUGCCCAUCGGCGGCGGCCGCAAGAACAAGCGCAACGGCUGUGGCAAGGGCGGCGCCAAGGCCCCCUCCCUGGCUCCCCCGUCACCACGGAGGUGUCUACUGCAGCUACCCAGGGCAGCGGUGCAGGCGCGCCGGCCGGCGCCGUUGACGGGUUCAUCCCAGCCGACUUCUUGAAGCAGAUGCUAUCCCAGUCGGGGAGCUUCACGGCCGUCGGCGGGGGUGGCGGCUACGACAUCGACCUCAGCGCAAAUGACCGGUGUCUACUGCCGCGCCGCCGCCAGGACAGUCUGCUGCUAGGACGGCGCCGGAGCCGAGGUCUUUCGCGCGGAGGAGGAGGUCUUGGGCACGGCGGCAGCGGCGGGCGCUACGAGCGGCGGCGAGGUGUGCGGCGGAACGGGGAGCAGCAGCGGGUACAAACAGCGUUGACUGAUGAUGCCAUCACUUACAUGUGGGCCAGGCCUGUCAUAAGUGUGUUUAAAAUGAACAGAUGCGCCGAUCUACAGACACGGUAGUUUUUAGUCAAAGAUUAGACAAAUAGUGGUAGUUUCCGGCACAAAUUUGUAAAGUGGUAGUUUCUGGGCACAUUUCCAUGAAUUGUGAUAGUUUUUUGUUAAAUACUCGGUUGGGAGUGAUCUGUACUGCUUCACUUGGUGAAUGGGAAUCACGAGCGGUAUAGCAUGCACAGCUUUGUUUCUGUCGUCAAGUAUAGGUUUUGUGAGGGCAUUUUGGGAAGAAAAAAUUGCACCCACCCGCGAGGUUAAAUAAAACACCAGCUCGCCUGCGUGUCGAACUGGCCCAUCCCGCUGUCGUGUCAAACUAGCCCACCGCGCCCAGUAGGAAAAAGAAACUAGGGUUCCGGCCACCGCCGGCGUGCACCCGCCGUCUAUGACGGAUCAGGAGGCUGUCGUGCUAGGCCCACCUUCCUCUCCGCCUACGCUGCGGUACCCUCCCUCCUCUUCCUCCCGGCGUGAGGUGCUCGAGGAGGACUCGCCGCCCCAACGCCAUUGAUCCCCUGGGACUGUCGCGCUCCCGGACCGGCCGACGCUCACCCGCCAACGCCCUCGCCUCGUGUUCUUCUCCACGGAGGUCCCUGCCUGCGCCCUAGGCUGGAGCUGUGCGCCGACCUCCACUCCGGCAGCGCCCGCCGCCUGAACCCGGUUUGGUCGCGUCGCCGAUUUAAGCAACACUUCUCGCUCACCGGGAACUGGACCGUCACCGCCACCCCCGGCGAGGACGGCUGGGCUGGCUAGGGCCUUGGAACCGAUGUCUACUGCUCGUUCGCUACGGAGGCUCGUUGUGCUGGGCAGGCGAGGCUACGACGACUGGCCGGUCUGCCCACUCUCUAGGAUUCCAGCCGCUGCCGGCAUGCACGGAGUCUUGAUUUCCAUGUAAGUAUGUUCGCGACUUGUGUAAAAGUUAGUUGCAGUAUUUAGCAAUUUUAUUCGGUGAUCGUAUUGGCUCAGAGUUACUGAGUUAAAUGACUACGAUUUGAGAACUAGCAGAGCAUUAUUGAAAUAGAAAAUUACUCUCUCUGAUUGUGUUCUAUAUGAGAAUUUCAUGCCUCUUAUAUGCUUGAGCCAAUGGUAGAUGUAAAAUUAGGUAAAUGGGAAGUUUGAUACAGUGAGUACAUUGCGAUUAAGUGUUUGUGCUUUUGUUUGACUUACAAUAUCUAAGAAGAAAGUACCCAUAUAGAUAGGUAUUCACUGUAAUGUUCCAUUUGCCUACGAAAUUCAAGAUUUCAUGGCGCACUUUUGCUACAGGAUGUGUAGGAUAAGGUAAAUAGUUUUUUUUGGCUAUCUUGUGUGUUUCUUCUAGUUAACGUUAUAUGAUGAAAAUUCCUGCUUGGAGGGGAAAUUGUCAGUUGCCAUUUGAACCAUCAACUUGUAGGAUUGUAGCUUAUUAUAGGAGAUUGCCUAAAUUUGUCUCUGAACUAUUUUAUUAUAACAGGAUGCACAGGGCCCUGAUAGAUUUACAUUACACUAGGAGUUAAUUAUACAUUUGAUACAUAAACUUUCACUCGACAUACAUACAGAUUCAUACAUAAACUUGAAAACUGACACAAAUCAGCCCUACAACUUGUGUUUCGGGUGCGUUUGAGUAAAUUUCUGUCAUUUGCCUUUAACUCUUCGUUAAAUUUUGCACACCAGCUAGUCCACGCUCCAUGCCUGCAUGUGGGUCUCUCACCGGUCUCAUUCAAAGGAAGAAAAUACAAACACAAAAAAGACAGUGCACUUAGAUGGAACCAAACUGAAGCCACCCAGGCGCAAGAAGUUUCUGUUAAUAGUACAGAUAAAACAUAGUCUAUAAUUUACAUAUUCUGUUAGGAAAAUUGAUUUGAAUGAUUUGCAUGGCGUUUAUUUUUUCCCGGUUUACUGGAAGUUUCGGUGAGCCCCAAAUGUUUUUCUAUCGUUCAAAAAAUAUUUGUUAAAAAUUUAAAAGGUCAUAUAUUGUCAAACUGAGCUCGUAUGCCUGCGUUUUCACAUAACAACUAUCAUCUAGUGUUACGGCGCGCGGACUAUCACCUCGAUGAUCCGCAUCGAGUCCCUUGUUUUCAAAAACUGGACAUUUUUUUAUGUGUUAUACAAUGCUUAUAAAAAAUAGAGGAAUUGUAUUAGGGAUGCUUAUAAAAAGUAGGCGAGUUGGCGAGUUGGCCGCUAUAACAAGGCAAAAAGUUUGUUAUAUAUGGUGUUUAGCAUGUUAUAAAACUCACAUAUCUUCUAAAAGAGUAUUACUACCACCUGGUUAAAAUAAACUCCUAAAAUACAUAGGCAUAAAUUCCUCAUGUUCCUUCUUUUUCCAAGCCGCAAGUUGCAAUUUAAUUGCUGAAAUUAACUCGAUUCCUCUUAUAUUCUCUCUUUGCAAUUUUGCAAAGCAUGGUUUUCAGCUGCUCCACCAUGCAAUUACACAUGUAUCCAUUUCAAUUGAUUCUCAUAAGAAACACAAAAUAAAUUGUAAAACUUCCUAAAGUUCAAUCACAACUUAAAACAUAUGAGCGUAAAGCUUGAACAAUUCUUAAACCAAAUUUUAUUCUAGAAAAACUAGCAAAUUCUGACAACUUCCAAUUCUCUCCAUCAUUCAUCCAUGACUUUGACUAUCUUCUAGUCCUCGUCAUUUCGAUGUCCUUUCAUGUUCAGUGGAGAAUACACUAGGAGGGCAGUGAGUGAUUUCCUGAACCUGGGGAUGUUGUCUUGCGUAAUAGGUUGAGUUAGUCUCACAGUUGUAACAAUGGGAAUGGUGUGGCUAAAAUAAGUAUGGAUGUCGUAUUGUUGUGUAGGCUCCAUCUACAUUGUCGCCUGUAAACUUUUCCAUGUUCUUUACCGAAAAAACCCACAUGACAUGCUGCAAUCAUAUGGAUUGUUAUAAAUAUUUUUUACUAUGAAUACUAAAUGUGUGGUUUUAAUGUUGUGUGCAGUACCUGUCUUUUUGUUGUGGUAUAUUUUUGAUAACCUAAACUGUCCAAGUGUUGAUGUCGAAAUCCUGCCAAGUAUCGACUUUUCGGCAACCAUGCCGAUAUGCUACUUCCAUAUGGAGUUGCAUGCCUUUGAGGUAUAAUAAGUUAAGAAGUAUAAUUUCUUUAAUAUGAAAAUUAACUCUCGGUAUGUAUGUACUAAGCAUUGAAAAAACAUACCAUGUUUUCUAGUUCCGGGGGGCUUUAUUAAACUGUUUUGUUGUUGAUGGCAUCGAAUCCAGAACUUGCACUGACCUUUUUCUAGCAUUGACCAUCGCCACGUACCAAUGCAUAUUCUUCAUAUUCAUAGGACAACAAACCUGCAUUUUAGACAUAAUUAGUUUUGUACCUUUUAGAAAUUGAUUGACUUAGAGUAGUGUGACUUACCAUAUCAUGGGAAAGGUACUUUUCGCUAUGAAUACUAGCAUAUGUAUUGUUCUGUAGAUAAUGGGUACAACUUGGAAUGCUUCCGUCUCUGACCAGCACAUCGCUAACUGGUGCUCUCUGUAGGUAGAUCAUCCCGUCGGCCCGUACAUCUAGAUUGGGGCGCAUGUGACGUACCCAUGUUAUGGCUGCAUCCAAGAUCUGAAUGGAAAAACAGUAAAGAAUUGAAAUAGAAAGAACAAUUUGUUAAUUAUUUAAGAAGUUAGCACAUAGCUUGCAUUGCAGCCAUCCGUCCUUACUACUUUUAAAGCUUGGAGCUGUCAAGCAUAUAAGAUCAGCGUGAUAGAGAUGAAUUUCAUCAAUUUCUACCAACACAUUCAAAGACGAGGAUUUGUUGACAUAUUCAAUGACCUCUUCAACUAUCUUCUCAUCUGGAGCAUCAUCUGUUCCUGUUAUGGGAGUACUCAUGUCUUUUGGAGUUAUCUUGCCUCUUUUAGUUCCCUUGGGUUGAUCAAAAUAAACAGAAUCCUUGUUAUUUGCAAAAGUGGAUUUCCUUUUUCUCUUCUUUUGUCCCGUCAUCAUAGACUCUCCUCCCUGCGUGUCCGAGGGAGGAGGCUUUAAAAAAAUAGCGACUCACAUGAUUAAUGUAUUUACUUACGUCUAAUUUCCGGAUAUCGUCUCUGUUAAACUCAUUUUGCUCACUAGUGGUGUCAUCCUGAGCACCCUGCAAGUCGGAGGGAGGAGCUUGUAAAAUGAGAAAAAUAACUCACAUAAUUAACAUAGUUACUAAAUUACAUCAAAGCCUAAGGCCAAGUCACGCCCAGGAAGGGACGAGGUAACAAAUUUAUGGUUGUUGUUGUACUCAUAUUUUGGUUGUCUCCAAUAGUCCUGCAUAAGUGUCUGGUUGUCAUUAUUUUAUACAUAGGAAGGAAGGAGUGAUUAAGUGCGUGUUUGGAUGGUAGUGUACUUACAUUGGUUUUCAGGUUGGCGUGUAGCUAGUUCCUCACAUCUGCAUUUUUCUUGCCUAGGUGCUUGAAUUUCUGCAGCAUCCUAUAGACUCGCGUACAAAUGUUGCGCAAAUACACGCACUCGGAGAAGGAAAAUGCAGAUAUGAGAAACUAGCUAUACGCCAACUUGAACGCCAAUUUAAGUACCCUACCAUCCAAACAUGCACUUAAUCACUCUUUCCUUCCUAUGUAUAAAAUAAUGACAACCAGGCACCUAUGCAAGACUAUUGGAGCCGACCAGAAUAUGAGUACAACGACAACGACAAAUUUGUUACGUCGCCCCUUUGUGUGGGCAUGACUUGGUCUCAGACUUUGAUGUAAUUUAAUAACUAUGUUAAGUAUGUGAGUUAUUUUUCUCAUUUUACAAGCUCCUCCCUACGACUUGCAGGGUGCUCAGGAUGACACCAAUAGUGAGCAAAAGGAGUUUGACAGAGACGAUGCUCGAAAAUCAGAUGUAAAUAAGUACAUUAAUUAUGUGAGUUGCUAUUUUUUUAAAAAACUCCACCCUCGGACACGCAGGAAACGGGAGGGUCUAUGGUGACGGGACAGAAGAAGAGAAAAAGGACACCCACUUUUGCAAAUAAAAAGGAUUUUGUUUAUUUUGAUGAACCCAAGAGAACUAAAAGAGGCAAGAUAACUCCAAAAGACAUGAGUACUCCUAGAACGGGAACAAGUGAUGCUCCAGAUGAGAAGAUAGUUGAUGAGGUCAUUGACUAUGUCAAUACAUCCCCGUCUUCGGAAGUGUUGGUAGAAAUUGAUGAAAUUCAUCAUAUUGCGCUGUUCUUAGAUGCUUGACAGCUCCGAGCUUUAAAAGUAGUACGGACGAAUGGCCGCAAUGCAAGGUAUGUGAUAACUUCUUAAAUAAUUAACAAACUGUUAUUUUCUAUUUUGAUUCCUUACUGCUUUGCGAUUCAGAUCUUGGAUGCAGCCAUAAUAUGGGUACGUCACAUGCCCUCCAAUCCAGAUGUAUGGGCCGACGGGAAGAUCUACAUAGAGAGGGCAUUAGUUAGCAGUGUGCUAGUCAGAGAUGGAAGCAUUCUAAGUUGUACCCGUGAUCUACAGAAUAAACAUAUGCUAGUAUUCAUGGCAAAAAGUACUUUUCCCAUGAUAUGGUAAGUCAAACUAGUCUAAGUCAAUUUCUAGAUGGUACAAAACUAAUUAUGUCUAAAAUGCAGGUUUCUCUUCGUAUGAAUAUGAAGCAUAUGCAUUCAUAUGUGGCGGUUGUCAAUGCCAAAAAGGGGGAGCGGAAGUUCUGGAUUCGAUGCCAUCAACAACAAAACAGUUUAAGAAAGCCCACCCGAAACUAGAAAACAUGGUACGUUUUUCAGUGCUUAUACAUACAUACAUACCGAGAGUUAAUUUUGAUAUUAUAUGUCUUAUACUUAUUAACUUAUUAUACCUCAAAGGCAUUCAACUCCAUAAGAAAGUAGCAUAUCAGCAUGGUUGCCGAAAAGUCGGUACUUGGCAGGAUUUCGACAUCAACACUUGGACACUUCAAGUUAUCAAAAAUAUACCACAACAAAAAGACAGGUACUGUACACAACAUUUAAAACCACACAGUUAGUAUUCAUAGUGAUUUUUUUAUAAUAAUCCAUAUGAUUGCAGCAUGUCGUGUGGGAUUUUAUUUGUAAAGAAUAUGUAAAAGUUUACAAGCGACAAUGUAGAUGGAGCCUACACAGCAGUACGAUGUACACACUUAUUUUAACCACACCAUUCCCAUUGUUACAACUGUGAGACUAACUCAACCUAUUACGCAGGACAACAUCCUCGGGUUCAAGAAACAACUCACUGCCCUCCUAGUGGAGUCUCCAUUGAACAUGAAAGGACGGUGAAACGACGAGGACUAGAAGAUAGUCAAAGUCAUGAAUGAAGGAUGAAGAGAGUUGAAAGUUGUUAGGAUUUGCUAGUUUUCUAGAAUAAUAUUUGGAUUAAGAUUAGUUCAAACUUUACGCUCAUAUUUUUAAGUUGUGAUUGAACUUUAGGAAGUUUUACAAUUUAUUUAGUGUUUCUUAUGAGAAUCAAUUGAAACGAAUACAUGUGUAAUUGCAUGGUGAAGCAGCUGAAAUCUAUGCUUUGCAAAAUUGCAAAGAGAGAAGAUAAGAGGACUCUACGAGUUAAUUUCAGCAAUUAAAUUGCAACUUGCCGCUCGGAAAAAAGAAGAAACAUGGGGAAUUUAUGCCUCUGUAUUUUAGGAGUUUAUUUUAACCAGGUGGCACUAAUACUCUUUUAGAAGAUAUGUGAGUUUUAUAACAUGCUAAACACCAAGCGCUGCUUAAAUCGGUGAUGUGUCCAAGCCGGGUUCACGCGGCGUGUGCUGCCGGAGUGGAGGUCGCACACAUCUCCAGCUUGGGGCGUAGGCAGGGACCUGCGCGGAGAAGAAGACGACAGGGUUCCAGGGGAUCAAUGACAUCGAGGGUGGCGAGUCCUCCUCGAGCUCCUUGCAUUGGGAGGAAGAGGGAGGGUGGCGUAGCGUAGGUGGAGAGGAAGAGGGGCCUAGCUCGGCAGCCUCCUGAUUCGCUAAUAGAUGGUAGGUGCACGUCGGCGGUGGCCGGAACCCUAGUUUUUUUCCUACUGAGCGCGGUAGGGAACAAAAUGGGAGGGCAAGGACGGGGUGGGGUAGUUCGACCCGACGACAGGAUGGGCUAGUUCGACACACAGGCGGGCUGAUUUUUUUACCUCGGGGGCAGGCUGAAACUUUUUCUUCCCAAAAUGCCCUCACGAAAUAUAUACUGGAUGACAAAAACGAAGCGGUGCAUGCUAUACCUAUCACGGUUCCCAUUCGCGCAGUGGAGUAGUAUAAAUCACUCCAACUGUUCACUGUUAUGAUUUGACGGCCCAUACUUAACCCAGGGUACCGUAAAAGAGCUCGCAUACAAAAUGAGCUCAAACCUAGGCCCGUGACAAAAAUAAAACAUAUUUCCCUUAAUUUUUAUGCCUAUUCCUACCCUCAAGAAAUCAAUGGUCCGAUUGAGUUAUACUGGUACCUCCCGUAUCAUCGGUAUAGGGUACCAUAAAAAUGCUCUUAGGUUAAUUUCGGGUUCGCACAAUCGACAAGAUGGAGAUGGUGAGGGGAACGGAUGUUAUGAUGACUGAGACAUUUAUUAUUGUUUUCAGUCAUUUGAACUGCAGUUCUAUUCUUGGUUUUCCGUUUGUGCUCUUACUUUCCCCGAACAACAUGAACCAACAUAAUUUUGAGAUGUCACCCUUUUUUCUGUCUAGAAUUUAGCUUCAUUCAAGAAGCCUUCACCUCUAGUACCUCUGCGCGACGAUAAGGAUAAGCACGACGAUGAGGAGGAGGAGGAGGAGGAGGACGACGACGAUGAGGAGGAGGUAAUAAUUUUAGUUCAAUCUUCUAAGGCUAGAAUACUAUGUUUUUUUCCUGGCUGAAUUCACUGGAUUUUAUUUUACUUUUGUCCGCGGUUUAAUCACUACUACUAAUUUAUAUAUACCGCUAAUCAGUGGAUGAGUGAUGAAAAGGAACCUGGUAAUGGUGUGGAACUGCAAGCCCGGGACGAGGAGGACGGGCUUGAGAUGGUAACACUCUUUAUUUUAAUCUAGAUGCUACAAUACCAGAAUUUUUUGCCAGCUGAAUUCACUAGAUUGAUUUUAUUUUUGUAUGCUUUUAACAAAUUUCCCAACUAAUCUGCGUACCUCUAAUCAGUUGAUAGGCGAUGAAAAGCGACUGCUAGUGAUGCUGAACUGCAAGUCCCUGGUGAAGGUGAACAAGAAUGCAAGAAAGGCAAGAUUAUUAGUAAGCUUUGAGUGCGAGGAAGAAGAAAUUGAGGCUAGACGACCAAAGAACUCUCUUUAGUCGAUGAUGAUAUUUGUGUAAACACAUGCAUGCUCGUUAUUGCGGCACAAUUAACUCUUGGAUCUGAUUAUGUAUUUCAAAAUGUGAUAUUUAUACUUAGAUUCAAAUAGUAAAAAUUUAAUAAAUCUACCGCCUAAUUAAUUCAUUAGCUCGUUCAUCGAGACAAAUUAGUAUCAUUGCAUUUUUUAUUUGAUGUUAGCAGUGUGGCCAUGAAUCCUUGAUUAUGUAGCUAUAAAUAUUACUGGGAAAAUGAAUUUUAGUCGAUAAAAUUGGAGUCAUGUUCCAAACAAUUGAAACACUGCCAAUCAGAUUAUUACCAUAAUGGAUACAUAUUAUUACUUGAUGCUUGUUUUUUUUUCUAAUUACUAGCGAAACAGGUGCUGCCAAAUGUAUGAAAUUGGAUUGUAUAAGCGCUUUGUUAUACUUGUUUUUUUUUUGCGGGGAAUACUUGUUGUGUUGUCCAUGUUCCAUGUUGUAGCACUUGGAGAGAAAUGGUUUAAUUCUGUUGCAUUUAACAUGAUGAAACAUGUAGAUCGUAGUCUGCUUUAUUUUGUGAGAUCCUUAUUAUUUAACUUGGGCUUGAACACUUGGGAGUUAGCUGGCUUGCUUUUCGAUAUCUACAGCCCACUGUGAUGGCAAUUAUAGAGAAAGAUAGAGUAACUAAUAAAAUAUCUUUGUUACUUAGGUCAUUUAGUUGAAUGGAUUUAUUUGAACUUUCAUUCAUCAAAAUUUUCAAUGCUGCAAACCAUCUCCCAGCUAGGACGUGACAGAAUGGAUGCUUUUGUACAUUGAACAUAUUGACACGACUGUGAACUUGGUGAGAGUUUAACAAAAUAAGUGGCGAAGUCAUGUUCUGAAUUACAAAAUUUGGAAUAUAUGCUUAAAUAAGUCAUUUCCCUUUUUAAAUAGGGACAAAAUACACAUUAUAUCAUUAAAAGUCUGCACAACUCCUUACUCUUAGGUGUCUGCACUCUAUAUUUUUAUCGGGUGCCUUUAUUCUGUUUCCACAUUUUUACUUAAGUGUCCAUGCUUUGUCCAUGGCCACUCAGAAUUUUCCAAUACACUUAUUGCAUGUAUGCUUUUCAACUUUCUUGAUUAAACGGAGUCGUCAAACUGAUUCUUACGAUGUUGUUUGGUUGUUCUGGCAGUAUCUGGUGACAUGAGAAGUCAGAAGAUGCAACAAAACUGUUGGUUGCGGCCAUGGCUGCAGUACUGGGUCUUAUAAUAUUCAACAUCAGCUAUCGCAGGCCUUGUGUUAUGUGCAACUUUUAUGAUUGUGUCCUGAAAAAUGCCUAUGUUUCUCAUUUGAGUAGAAUGGAUACCACCAUCUAUUUUAGUUAUACCAAAAGAAAAAUAAGCAUGUCUCCAUUUCUCAUUUGAGUAAAAUGGAUACAUCAUCUUGGACAGGUGAACGUGAAUAAAUCAAGGUGUCAUGCAUUUCAGGUCUACAUAGGAAAAUUUGGGUACUCAGCUGAAACAUCCACGUGGACCCCAAGGCUCUGAUUUCUGCUGAAUUUACCUCGAUGUACUCUUCCACAAAACAUAUCAGUUCGUUCUCCCGUAAAAAAAGAACGACAUGAGGCAAGAAGCGCGGCAGAGGAGCUGAGAUCCACGCAGCCAGCGGUAGACACGACCACCGAUGGCCACGUCUAGGCCCUCUAUCUCAUUCACUCCAUUGCUCGAACCAUGUUCCCUCUGCCCUGCUGCCCUGCACCACAUCAAGCGUGGCAGCCAUCGGUGCCCUCUACCGCACCGUCUUGCAUGGCCUCAAGUGCAGCAGUCAUCGGUGCCCUCUGCUGUGAGCCCGUCCCUUCCCCCCGACCUCUCCAUCUCAUCUGGAGAGGUAGCCCUCCCCUAGUCUUGUUGAUCCUCUUCUUUCUCCUGCUUCUCAAGCCGGCGAGGUAACCAUCCCCUAGCUUCCUCGACACGCCAACCAUUAGACUUCGACGCAUUGACCGUUGAAUCCAGGUGGUUGGCGAUGGGGACAUGUGAUGGUGUCCUGGCUAAGGGGCCUCUCACCACGUCGACUCCUGCCCGAUGGGACGGACUGAGAACCCUUUGUCGGUUCCAUCCUGGGCCACUCUGCAGCCAUGACAAUUACAAGGAGAUUCAGAAGACUUGGUGUAUACUCCAAGAUGCUGAAUCCAUGGAGGACUAUGCCUCCCUGUACGACUAGGAAUUUUUGAAAUUUAUUUAAUAUUUUUAAUGACUUUUUUGUUCACUCCCGAGCUCAUCGUAGCCUGGGAGCCAAAACGCUGCUCUCAUAUCCUGGCAGCUAUAAGCAAUAUAUAGGAGCUCCAAAUGGUAGCUAUAUACGGGCCAAAGCUAGAAAUAUCACACUGAUUGCCCAGAGGCAUCCAACAUUAGUCAUAGCCCAUUUCGCCAUUUCCCACCCCCUUAUAUUAGUUUCAUAUUUUCCUCAGAAUUUCGUUUUAUUUUUGCAUAUGAUUUUAUUUUUAUGGGUUUCCUUGUUUAUUUUAUUUUAUUUAUUUUAUUAUUUCAUUUUAUAUUUUCUAAAAUAAAUAUAAACAGUUUCUACAAAGACCACAAUUUAAAAAAGUACAAGGUAUUUUUAGAUACACGAAUUUUUAAUAAGAAUACAUGAAACAUUUUUUGUGGGCAUUUAAACCUUUUAAAAUGAGACGAGCAUUUUUCCAUAAAUACAUGCACAAUUUUUAAAUAAAAUGAAUAUUUUUUAAAUUAAAAAAAUGGGCAGCCCGGUGCACGUAGCCCCCGCUUACACAGAGCCCGGGAAAAAAUUCCCUAACUCCAUUACCAAUUUUUUUAGAAAUACAGAAACACUUUUAUAAAUUUUGAUAAAAAUAAAAAAAAUCUUAUUAUUCCCUAAUUAAUUAUACUUUUAAAAUUUGAUGCACACAAUUCAAAAAUUAUAUUAGUUUGCAUGCUUACAUUAUUGAAUGUUUUUAUUAACAUCCCAUUUAUUUCCCAGUCAAACGUCCUAGGUGAGGUCGUUGCGUAAAUGUGUCAGUAUCAUAAGAACGCGCCUGGGGUGGGUGCUAACGACCACAAGAGGCAGAAUAUGGUCGCUAUAGACGAUUUUGCCCACAUCUAUAGAUGCAUACACAACUGAAGCUUUGGCAAUCAAGAAAGGACUUGAACUUGCAAAGUUUUGGGUGUCUAUAAACUACUGGUCCAUUUAGAUUGUGUGGAGUCGGCGAAAGAAAUUCAGCAAGGAGUGAUCAACUCGCAACCCAUAUUCUUAAUGAUUGCUUCAUUUUUCGUAAUAAAUUUGGCCAUGUUAUUUUUGAGCAUUGUGCACGAGAGACGAAUCGUGUGGCUCAUGAACUAACUAGUAGGGCUAGGGUUGAAUUUUUCCAUUUUCCUUUUAUUUACAUUUUCUUUUGAGUUGAUUUUUGCAUUUUUAUUUUGAUUUUAUUUUAUUUUUGUCUUUUAAAAUAAAAAAUAUUAUAAACAAUUGUGAACAUUUUUUCCAAAUACAGGAACACAUUGGACAAACAUACGGACAUUUCGUAAGAUACUACAUAAACCUUCUUAAAAUGGAUGAACAUUGUUAAAGGGUAUGGACACUUUCCAAAAUUACAUGAGCAUUUAUUUCAGUAAAUAAACAUUAAAAAAUACAUGAUUUUUCAAACGGUGUGAUCAGUUUUAAGAACUACACGAACGACUUUGAAAUUACGUGAAUAUUUUUAAAAUGCGUAAACAGUUUUUAAAUUUCAUGAACAAUUGUUAAAAUACGAAAACACUUUCUGAAUUACGUGAAUAUAUAUUAAAAUUCAAAUACCUUUGAAAUCCUGCGGGUGAUUGGGGAACUAUGGACGCUUCGAGCGUUAAAUAGAAUUAUGCUUGGUGGGUACAUUUGCGACAUAACAUGAUGUGAAUUUGCCUCCCGCUCUUUGUUAGUGAAAUCCCCAUUUGACGCAUUAUGCUUCCAACUGUCCACCUUUCGCGGGAAUAACUAAUGAAGGAGUACACCUUCGGGAGCCCCCGCAAGGGCCACCUGGGGUGGGCUGAGAGUGUGUUACUUGGCGCGCUCUCAGCCGCCGUCACGUGUUGCGAUUUGGGUGCUUCAUUUGUUUUUUUUUUCCGUAUGAGUUUUCGGGGUUUUGGAUGGUUUAUUUUGGGGGUUUGGGUUUUCGUUUUCCCCCCAUGUCUUUCUUAGGUUUUUGACAAAAAACAUUCUGAAUUUUUUCAUGUGCGGAAAAAUGCAUUUUCUUUUUUUGCUUCCGCAAAAGGCAUGGUCAUGCCCCUCGGAAUGAAAAAACACAUUUUUUUUUUCACGAGAGGCAUGAAUUUGCUUCCGCGAGAGGCACAACCGUGCCUCUCGAAAAUGGAAAAACAUGUUUUUUCCUUCACGAGGGGCGCGGAUUUGCUUCCACGAGUGGCACAGUCGUGCUUCUCGGAAACGAAAAAAACACG
rnacentral:lncRNA from 1 species